rnacentral:lncRNA from 1 species
CGGCGCUGGGGCCCUGCAGCUGCUGCGGGCGUCGUCGUCACGCGCGCAAGCGGACAAGCAUCCGCGUGCUUAUAAGCAGACCCUCCCCUCCCGUCCCCAAAAAUUCCAUUCCCCCGUUUCUCCUAGCUACUCCCUCCUCCGAUCGAUCCAGGGUGCGAGAGCAGAGCUCUGGUUAUUAGUUUAGUUUAGUCUCCCUCAAGCUCGUGGCGCAGCAGCGGAUUCGAAUUCGUUGAGAGGAGGUGGAUUAGCAGCCGAGGCCUGCAGCUAGCUAUCUAGGGUUUUGUAGUGAGAGUUCCUCGCAGUCGCAGGCUUCGCUUGGUAGCGUCGUCGGCCGGCCGGGAGCCAAUAAUGAUCAUGGCGAACCCGGACAUGCUGCCGCCGGGGUUCCGGUUCCACCCGACGGACGAGGAGCUCAUCCUCCACUACCUCCGCAACCGCGCCGCCAACGUGCCGUGCCCGGUCGCCAUCAUCGCCGACGUCGACAUCUACAAGUUCGAUCCAUGGGACCUUCCAUGUUAGUACCCCUGCUGUACCCUCGCGCGCCUGCACUCGCAUCACAUCUAUCGUGAAUUUCUCGUAAUCCGGCCGGAUGGUCAGAUCCAGAGAUCUCUAGCUGAUGAUCCGUGUGUAAAUACUAACAACGAUUUUGCCUUGAUUGAUGUGCAUGUAUUACUGCAGCCAGGGCAGCGUACGGGGACAAGGAGUGGUACUUCUUCAGCCCGCGCGACCGCAAGUACCCAAACGGGAUCCGGCCGAACCGCGCCGCAGGAUCCGGCUACUGGAAGGCCACCGGCACUGACAAGCCCAUCCAGAGCAGCGCCACCGGCGAGAGCGUCGGCGUCAAGAAGGCGCUCGUCUUCUACAGGGGCCGCCCGCCCAAGGGCACCAAGACCAACUGGAUCAUGCACGAGUACCGCCUCGCCGCCGACGCGCACGCCGCACACACCUACCGCCCCAUGCAGUUCCGCAACGCCUCCAUGAGGGUACGAGAUGAUAUACGUUGUUGAUCACUCAUCAGACCAUAUAUAGCUUUUGCAUACAAUUCCAUGAAAAACUUAGCUAAAUUCAAAGAAUAAAAUGAUGAGAAGAAUGAGAUCCCUACUCUCUAGCUUUUGCCUUUUAAUUUCCAUGUAGUUAUAUAUAUCCCCUGCAUGUCAGUAUCAUGGUGUAGCUAGCUAGUUGCAUGCGUACCAGACAUAUGCGUGCUCAGUUUGUUGCACCGCUUGCGCAUGCAAUCACCGAUGCACCCUCUGAUCCAUCUUUUUGGCGAUGUUUCUGAUGCGGGUUCCCGGCACACGUCAAAAUAUAUUCUUUAUCGCAUCGGUUUUGUGGCUUGCCAAUAGACGCAAGGGCCGCUUUAGUCUGUGUGUGUGUGUGGCGCGGCUUUCUUUCUUUUUUUUAAAAAAAAAUGUUCUUUAGGCAUACUUGGCAUGGUUGCACCAAGUCAAUUGAUCCGACAAUGAUAGCCGCGACGAUGCGUACGUGUUGACGAUUGAUUCAUUAUCUGCAAUUCUGCACCCGAUUUGUGUAGCAUUGAUUAUUUUAAUCUCCAGCCUCUUCCUAAUUUAUUUGUGUGAUGGAUUGAUCGUCUCUGCGGCGCAUGGUGUGUGGUGCAGCUGGAUGACUCGGUGCUGUGCCGGAUCUACAAGAAGGCCAGCCACGCGCCGUCCAUGGCGGUGCCGCCGCUCUCCGACCACGAGCAGGACGAGCCCGCCUGCGGUGGUGGCGGCUUCGACGACAACCCGUACGCCGCGACGAGCGCCGCCAUGAUCCUGCAGGGCGCGUCGUUUCCGGCGAUGCAUGCCGCGCCGGCCGGCGCUCCGCAGAGGAUGCCCAGGAUCCCGUCCCUCUCGGAGCUGCUGUUCAGUGACCCCUACUUCUUCGAGGAGGGCGGCAUGCAGCAGGACAUGGCACGGCUCAGUAACCACCACCACCAGCAGCAGGCCCCUCUCCUCGGCCGCCCCAUCACGAGCCAACUGCUGGUCAACAACGGCAACAGCAUGAUGUCCGGAGGAGGGCAGAUCCCGCAGCUGGACCCGCCGCCGGCCUCGACGUCGGCCGCUGGCGAUGGCGCAGCUGGCAACAAGCGCAAGAGAUCGUCAGCAGAGACGAGCACUGCUAGUGCCAGUUUGCUGUCGAGCCAGCAGCAGGCGUCAGCAGGCAAGAAACCGAACGGCUCCUGUUUCGGUGCAACGACGACGUUCCAAAUAGGCAACGGGCUGCAGCUGCAGGGGUCGUCGCUAGGCCACCAGAUGCUGCUUCAUUCUUCUAACAUGGGGAUGAACUGACUGACAGAUUGCUGUUCUCCACUGAAAGCUAUACGUACUUGAGCAUUCAAUUGUGAUUUGAACAUCGGGAUCUAUUGCACCAAAUACAUAUAUAGGCUUUCCUCAAAAAAAAAACAUAUAUAGGCCUAAAAUAUAAAGCAAUGGUUACUAUAUAUUAGUAGGUAAUCAUUAAAGGGAUUGUACUUGUAGAGUCCAGUAGUAGUGUCAACUAGCUAUAUAGUUGCUAGGGACGCCAUAGUUGAUUGAGGUUUGCGGUGUGUAAACAUUUUGAUCUCCUGUACAUAGUACAAUACUAUGUACUACUCAAUCUUAUUACUACUACUACUAGUAGUAGUUCAAAGCUAACUAGAUAAGGCUUUGAGAUCAUUGAAGAAUUGGAAGUCAAGAACAGGAGAAAUGUGUUGAUUAAUAUCCAGCCGGCUUUAUUUGCUCAUAUAUCUGCAUGUAAAACAUUUUAUUGUGCCAUGCUUAAUUCCUCAGAGUACGAAAAUGCUUAUUAGAUCGUGCUUAUAUAUCGCGACGCUUUCGGGAUUACAUCGCGGAUAACUAAAGCACGCAAUACAACCACACAGGUGUCACUCAAAGAGAAAGCGAAAAUGAAUUACCAUAGCCACCAGGCAGAGGUUGAAAUUCCUUCCUGCUGGGAUCGAUAGCAGAGAAGAUAAUAGUCCAUUCAGAAUAAGGGUAAAGAAAAGGACAUAAGGGAAGGAAAAGAGAAAAAAUGAUGGAGGCCGGAUAUUUAAUAAUUGGCCAAAGCAGUCAAGUUGCGGAUGGCUUGUAGUUUUCGGGUCAGGCUCAGGCGGUGGAUGAGAAGCCUCGCUCCUUUUCUGCUCUCGAUCAGAAAGCCUUAUUCAGAUGGGUGAAAGAGGCCCUGCUGCCUGGCUGCCUGUGCUGUGCAAUUGUGUGCAUGCAGAAUCUGGCCCCGCCCGCCCACGGAAACUGAAAAGUAUUGGAAUAUUUGAGGCACAUCAACAAGCAGUCCCGGCACGUCGGCGUCACCGAACACAACAAAACUGGCAGCUUCUCCGUUUUGGCGCCUCUUGGUGGGGUCUACCGUACGUCGUCUAUGCACUACUCCUACGCAGGCCCCUAGCUCCUGCAAGGCUGCAAGUUGUUGAGUAGUAAGAGAGCUGGAGGCGAAGUGAUAGAGAAUUAGCUAGUGCAGGAGAUUCUCUGUCAGCCAAGAAUCAGUCGAAUCGUUGAACUUCAUGCAUGCAGGAGAAUUAAGUUAGCUGGAUUUGAAUUUUGGAUGUGUUGAAGUUUUUCACGGCUCUGUUCAGGUUCCUAUUACUAUUCUGCUUUGAAUGUUAAGACCUUCAUAACGACCAGAGGGAAAAAAGUUGGUGGUAGGAAGUAGUGUAUCAGCAGGCUAUCAAAUGCUGACAGAGUCGCUGCAAACGUAUAAUAUAAACAAAAUUCAGCACACAAGCCAUGAAGCCAGAAGCAUUUUGCCUUACCGGAGAGCGAUCAGUAGUGCUGCUGUACUUUUUAACUCAAUAGUUUAAUGGCAUAAUAAUAAUAAUCAACACGAACGGAAGAUGCUUAUCCACAAGUAAAAUUUUCCCCGCCGCGCACGCAACCGCGAUCGAAGUAGAACGUCAAACUAAUUUACCGCUGGUUCGUUCCCCGUCCAAAUUAACCGGAGUUUAACAAUAGCCAUUCCAGCUCGUGCUUUAUAUCCCCCCCUCAUGCAGAUAAGCUUAGUAAAGUCGUGGAAAAGAAUCCUGAAACCCCCAGGAAUCUCCCAAAGAGGAAGAGAUCCAGCAAGGACGGAGAGCUCGCGGGAGUAAUUUAGCCAUUUCGCACCGGAGAUUCAGGGUAUAUUCCUUGCGGCCUCACCUCGCUGCUUUCCCGUUUCGGCAGGCAGUGAUCGCACGUACAGCUGGGAGAGACGACGACUACGGACUACCUGUCUCUCACGUAUCUGCAAUCUACUGGCCAUCAGACCUUGCCACAAUAUAAUACUCAGCUGACGUGCACCUGUAAUCUGCCAUUCGUGCUCCAUUAGCAGCCAAGCAUUUUUUCCAUCCGGACCAGGUGCUACCAGCUUGAGUAUUUUACAGUAGAGGAGCCUUCAGAGUGACGAGGAACGCUGCUGCUGGCGUGGAGAGAGUUCUUCCAGGGGCUACCAGAAUUGGUCCAGCGCACGGCCAUCCAGGUGGCCGCAGAAGGGAAACAGAGGGGCAGAGAAUGAGAGAAAGCAGAUCGAAAGGAGAACCGCUUUCACGUACGCUGGCUUCAGCUAGGCGGCUUUUGCAUAUGAUAUGUUAUCUUUGGUGCUGAACUUAUCUGCUUCAUGAUUGUUCGCCGUGCCUUUAUCAGUUCAGUGUGUUAUCAUCAAGAAGAAGCCUGGGCAGUGGGCAGGCACGCGUCCACAAGUAUAUUCAAUUAGUGGUAGUGGCCGAGUGAACGUGUGCCUUUUGUGAUGGUGAAUUUACUGGUUGUUUAGCGGAUAAUGGUGUUCCAAACUUGGGUUAUAGUUCUAGCUGGGAAUGAAGGCCGGGAUACGGUUGACAGGGUAUAUAUAUAUAUAUAUAUAUAUAGGAUGACAAACACAUGAGUGUAAUAUAACGAGCCUGUGGGAAGGAUAUGGCCAUGACGAUAUCAUGUGUGUGUUUGGAGGAUUUGGUUUGUAAACUAUCGAUCGGGGCACAAGAAUUGGUGGGUUUCUUUUAGACCUGAAAGACUUACAUCUGUUGAUCUCUCAGUGGACUACGCUGCUAUUUGAAAAGAGGAGGAAGAGCGAGAGAGGUGAACCGAGCGUGGUUGGGUUCUUGCUGUGGAGCUUAGACUAUUUCGGUGCUAAGUGGGUAUUCAUAUUUUUCUGAAUUUAUUUAUUUUACAAUUUAACGGCGUUGUUUUUUUUGGGCAGCAGACGUCAUGCCCACGGCGAAGCAAGGUGCUCAUAGGUUGAUAGCGAAUGGAUCUGGUGACUUAUCAAUUUUGUUGACUAUCAACAGCGAACAAAAAAUGGAGAGAUCCAUGUGGACAAAAUGGACUUUGUUGGGCUGUUCUUAUGCUGCUUUUGGUUUCGCCAUUCCGGAAAGGAAAUUAGCAUGGGCUUCAAACCGCUUUCUGCGUCCGACUCCUUCAUUUUCUGCGGACAUUACUGUCGUAAAGGCCCAUAUGCUUUCAUGGGCAUCUCACCCGAUGUAUUGCGUGAUGGGCCGCAUUAUUGUACAAGGACUUUGCGGGCCGUGCCAAGACCACCGUGUCAGUUGACGUCUGAAGGCCCCUCAAAAAAAAAAAAAAAAAGACGUCCGAAGGUUCAAAGCCAGCUAUCCCGCAGCAAACUCUAAAGUCCGAAGGGACAUGUGUGCUGAUUAGUGGUUCAUGGAGUAUACUAUAAAGUAGUAGAAGAUGCAGACAAGAAGAACGGUGGUCCAAGCAUGGACGUUUGCGGUAAUCGCGGAUUACAGUGCAACUGAAAGGUUGGGAAACAACUCAAAAAGUGAAAAAGACUAUUGGGAUAAUAAAAAAAAACUAAUUAUAUAACUCGUUUAAAACUACGAGACGAAUUUAUUAAAUCUAAUUAAUUUAUUAUUAGCACAUAUAGGUUACUGUAGCAUACAUAAACUAACUAGAUUUUGGAUAUAAGAAACUAAAGGCCUAAAUAUACUUCCUCUAUACCCAUAAAGAAAGUCGUUUUGCACAAUGUUUAGGUCAAACAUUGAAAAUAUAAAUCAUGAAUAACUUUUGUGUUGUUGAAUUGAGAAAUUUGAAAACCAUACGAAUAGAUUGGUCUUGAAAAAUACUUUCAGAAAAGUAUACAUAUACCACUUUUUGAUAAAUAUUUUUAUAAAAACAUGUGGAGUAAAAGGUAACCUUGAAGACUGUGUCAUUGUUCUAAACAACUUUUUUUAUAGGUAUAGAGGGAGUAUGAUGAAAUAAAAACAUAUCUGGUAGUCUAGUACGGUCUGCUUUGUAUGAUUGACUCCGUCGCAUCGAAUCUGGAGCACUAAAUAUAGAUAGGAAAAAUAACUAAUUAUAUAGUUUAUAUGUGAUUUGCAAGAUGAAUCUUUUAAUUAUAGUUAGUCUAUGAUUGAACAAUAUUUAUUAAAUACAAACAAUAAUUUCUAUUUUGAAAAAAAAUAACUAAAACAAGGCCCGAGUGCGAACCAUAUAUGUGCGGGCGAGCACUGUGAGCUCUUUUUCCCGGAUUCCCGAAGCGAGGAGCCCGACGCAGAGCCACAUACGACAACUGCAAGAGGUCGUCAGGUCAUUCAUGCCAAAAGCUAGGCAGUACCAGCGUUCCCAACGACUCCAGCGUGGCUAUGGCUUCACAGCAAAAGUUACGAACCAUAAUUAUGUUACUACUUAUUACCACUAACCUACAUUUCGAUCUAGUUUUAUCAGCAACAACUUACACCUAAGGCUUUGUUUGGAUGUUGUUGGAUUCAUCUCAAUCCACAUGUGUUGAAGUGGAUUGGGGUGGAAUUUAGUUGAAGUUCCACUCCAAUCCACUCCAACACACAUGGAUUGAUGUGAAUCCGACUACAUCCAAACAAGGCCUAAGUUUGUUCUCAUUUCUAAUCAUCCUACCAUUUUCAAGAUAUUAUUCAAGAUUUUAAACAAAAUGAACGAUCAAAUAAAAAGUUUGAAAGUUUAAACUGACAUUUUUAUUGGGACAAAGCAAGUCAUAUCAAAAUUCUAAAAUUUUUGUGCAAAUUUUAAAAUAGAUAAAUCAUUAUUAAAAUAUCUCUAGUGAUCAACAUAUCAAAAUAGACGAUACUUAUAAAAUCUUUUAAUAAGACGGAUGAUAAAGAUAUCUAAAUGUUAAGGAUGGAGUAGUCUCCACAGGUUAAGGGGCGUCAUGAAUUUGCUCAAAAACUAAUCACAUCAGACAUCUGGACCUGGGAGUCAAAGAUAGGAGUACUACGAGAAACUUCCAGAGAUCCGGGCCCAGCUCAAGCCCGGGUAUUCAUAAUUCAUAACCACUAAUCACUUCUCUCCCGGAUCCGGAUGCAUGCAUGCCACGUCCGGCCGCUGGAUGGGCUCCUUGCUACGUGCCCUGACAGUCUUGACACGGGCCGAACACGUACCGACUCUUUCAAGUUUGCUGGUGCAGAAAUAAUACGCGACGACAGCUGGAGUAGUUCUUUUAAGGCCUUGUAGAAAAAGGAAAUCAUGGUGUUACAUGUAUCGUUAUUUAGAGAUCUGAAAAACAAUCAUGGUGUUGUUUGCUCAGCUGUCGUCGCGGAUGGCAGCAGGCGGCAGGUGAACUUUCUAGGUGUGCCUAACAAGGUGAGGAGGAGUACGUGGAACGGCUAGGUGAGGAAAUCAAACGCUGAACUGAUUUAUCACGCUUUGUUGUUGUUGUUUUAAUGAAAUUCAUCACGCCGUGUGAUGGCUCUACAUCCGCGUGAAUUUGUGGGGUGAGAAUCUCAAUCCUCACCGCGAUCUUAUCCCCUCAUGCCCUCACGGCUUCCUCAUCAAUUUUUUUUUUUUUACAACCGGCUUUCACCGUCCGCGUCAGGUCCAGGUCCGAACGCCGGAUGACUUCUGUCCAUUUCUGGAGUUACCACAGUGCGCUCGCGUGGCUCGGUGUUUGCGGAGAAGAGCAAAGCCAAAGCGUUUGUCGGACAGGAUCACAGGACGGGGACCCCAUGAGAUCGCGCGAAUCAAAACCAUGCAGCGUCAGGAGCACGCAUCUCGGACAGAGAUUAGUGACCAACGUGCCCGUAUCAUUGUCGUCCUAUACUCCUAUUAGAUUACUCACAAUACAGACUCUAUCAUGGAGUCUAAAGUCAUUUAUUACCUCGAACAAUUUAGACUUGGAGUCUAAAUAAGACUUGAAGUCUUAUUUUUUCUAUCUCUUUCUUCGAUAAAUAUGGUGUCACAUCAGCAAAAUACCAUAAAUAAUAUGUAAUUAAUUGUCUUGGACUUCAUGAUAGAGUCUUGCAUUGAGAGUGCCCUGCAAGACUUUAUCACAGAGUUCAAGACAAUUAAUUAUAUAUUAUUUAUGGUAUUUUACUGAUGUCGCAUCAUAUUUAUUGAAGAAAGAGGUAGAAAAAAUAAGACUCAAAGUCUUAGUAUUUAGACUCUAAGUCCACAUUGUUCGAGGUAAUAAAUACCUUUAGACUCCAUGAUAGAGUCCGCAUCGUGAGUGCUCUUAAAAGGAACUUAGUCCAAUUUAAUUUUAAUCGUUUAAAGCCGAUCCACAUUCCUCUCUCUGAUCACAGCAAUUUCCCCGCAGCUUUUGUUUAAGGUUUUUGCCGCUAACCAACACAUGUGGCGAAGAGGCCACUGGACCACGUAGAGGUGACACACACACGCCGCUGACACAUAGGACGACACGGCCACGCGGGUGUCUGGCGGUGGCUCGGCGGGCGGCUCCUCCUUUUCCAUGGACGCGUCGGGUACUGGAUCAUCCACGAGUCAUCAGUGACGAAAACGACCAUACGUGCAUGCACAGCGCCACUAUCGCUAGAGGACAAAAGUGACCGUCGGUACUCCCACCAUCUCUAGUACUCCUAGUUUAAGCUCUUCUCUCUUUUUUUUUUCCCCGAGACCAAAUAGACUGAAGAAACAAGGAUUUGUUAUUUCACGUGUCUGAAAUAUAGCAUGCUUUCAGGUAAACAUCUCCACCGUUAGCUUUUGGACAUAUAAAGCUGAGAUUCACCUUGGUAUAUAGAGGAAAAAAAUCAAGCACGGGAUUGGUACGAUAUCGCCUGAAGAGAAUUUACAACUUAGACAUCUGACCAUUAGAAGAAGUAAAAGCACCUGAUAGAUCAUCGGAUAUAUUUUAACAAUAAAAUUUAUUUAAAAAUAUAAAUAUUACUAAUAUUUUAUAUAAAUGUAGUUAAAUUUAUUGAACGAUUGAUAGAUAUAAAUAGUAUAAUAGUAUUUAUUUUGAAAUAGAGGAAGGGAUGGAGCAGCAGCGGAGGGUAUAGUGGAGACGAAAUUAGACAUCAGCUCACUCUUGGCUGACAAAAGUUUAAUGGCUUGUAGAUAUAUAGUAGCUGAACUAUAUAUAUCUACAAUAUGUUACUAUGAUUUGGUAUUGAAAUGAACAAUUUGCCCCCCUCUUACUAUUAAGCCACGCUCCACCACUCGAAGAGAGUACAUCAAUUCCACGACUUUGAAGAUUGCACACAUGCGGUACAACAAGUACCAGAAGUACUAUUGUUUUGUUACUUCCUUGUUUUGUUUAAAAUAAUGAACAAAAGUUUUCGUUUCUUCCAGGCAAAAUUUGCUAGUGGACAUCUAAAACAGAGUUGUUUAUCAUAAACAAUUUGGCUUGUGCCAAUUUUGCCACACGACACUGCAUCUCUUAUUUUAUUUAUUUUCACCGAUUGAGGAACGAAAAUAUUCCAAUAUUGAUGACCCGGUACCCUUGAGCCACAUUUGGGACGGACACGAUCUAGAUCAGUCCGGACCCGAUGAUUAGGUAGUACUUGGUUUAUCAAUAGCAUAGCCAGAGAGCACAAAAUGAAUAGGUGGAUGAAUGUGGCUAGUGUAUGUUAUAGGAGUUGUGAGCUUUGCUACCAUGGGCAUGUUGUUGUAUAACAACACAUGAACUUUGUUUGUAAUGUGUGUGAAAUAAAUGAGACAAAAUAUAGUUAACUCAUACUGCCCUGUUUAAUACAUUUAAAUCAAUACCAAGUUUAAGAGACAUUAUCAGAUUUAAUACAUUUUCAUCAUUAAUAACCAUAUAAAGUUCACUAUAGUAACCCGUUCAUGACAACAUUAAGUUCAAUACAUUACAAAUUUUCAACCAAGAGGCACAAAUAUAAAAAGGCAACAGGGCCCUCUAGCUCUUAUUGUUGGUUCUUGCUUUGUUCACAUGUCACAAAAGCCAAAAAAACAACACACAUAAAGGUCACAAAAGACCAGAACGGGCAUGCAUACAAAUCAUAGUACAAGCGCUUGGAGUGGAUGUCACACGUUGCCUGACUCCUAGUCAUUGGCCACCACUUGGUGUUUGACAUAGCACCUAGUGGACGAUGGGUUUGGAACCCUUCAAGAAUGAACAUGUGGUUAAGAGUUAGUAAACAUACUGAAAAAAUCUUGACUCAAGAGAUAUAGGUCCUAAUAACAUACUGUGUAGCUUGUUUAGGAGGUGUAGCCUCGGUAGGAGUUGCCUUUUUCUUCUUGGGUUGUUUCCCCUUUGAGGAGGCGUUCCUUUUUUGCACCUGGAGGGAUUCGGUGGUCUCUAUAAUCUCAACCACCUUUGGUUUGUAAAUCAUCCUUUUCUUUGGCGGUGCAUUAGUGUCUACGACUGCUUCAUUGCAGGCUUUCUCGAAGUGGCCAAAUCCACCACACACUUUACACCUCCUCUUGCCCUUGUUGCUUGACCCACCUUCUUCAACACCAACCAACCUUAUUUUCUUUGGUCUUACUAUUGCUCUCUUGCAUAUAGGAGGAAGUAGUUUGAAGCCAAGAUUCAUCUUUUCCCACUCUUCUUUGUUUGUCAUAGGUUCAACAACUUCAGGAAUAUCAACAACUUUAGAAAUAUCAACACCAUCAGGAAUGACAUUAUCAUCAGGUAGAAUCAUAGUGAUUGGAAGACAUAUGGCCUGACUCUAUUGUCUGCUAAUAGUAGAUUAAGGGUCACUAGAUGUAUUGGCAUUAGAAACUUCAGACUGGAUUAAGCAAGGUCCAGUGCCAAUAACCUCUAGAGUCACUGGCAGCCUUCUACUUUCCCAAUACACAUGAAAUGCUUCUAGCAGUGUAGAGUCAGAAUCUAUAGGCACCGCUCAUCCUUGGUUUUGUCAAAGAAAGUAACAUUCAUUGCUUGAUCCUUCCCAUAAACUAUCUCCUUGGCAAGCAUAGCAUUCAAAUCCAUCCAACUCGUGGUAUCCUUGUCCACCACACGCAUUAAGUUAUCAACUACAUGAUAAUCAUCAAGCUUAUCUGGUCUUUAGUCUACAUAGGCAGGUACUCUAAUUGCCAUCCUAUAGGAACCCAUCAGAUCCAUCCUAAAUAAAAAAACAUAAGAUCCAAACUAAAUGAUUUCAAACCGUAAUCUUUCUAAUGGAUCCAUAGGCAUACAAAUUGAACGAGUAUGGGUUUAAGAAACCCUUUUGGAAUCCAUUUGACUUGAAGCACCCUUGGCGAAGAAUCGAGGCAUUGUGCGUUCUUCCUAGUAGCAGGGAACUUCAUCUUCUGGUCGGGGGUUGCUGCAGAUCCUCAGCCUCCCAUGGAGGACAACUACAUAAGCUAGAGGUGUUAGCGUCGGCGGUCACUAUAGUGGAUGGCGGCAUAGUGAGUAGUGGAGUUGAUGGCGGCGCCGCGAGCAAUGGAGUGGAGUGCACAAAUGUUGUGGGAGUAGGAUUAGGAAAAUCUAUGACUGUUGUAAACCCUAACUGUCUGAACCGGGUUUGUCUAGAUCGGAUCCGUUCUAAACAUGGCUCAAGGCACCGGAUGUUAGUAGUGAAAUGUUCUCUCCUCAAGCGAUGGAAAUGAAUAAAAUAAAAAGCAAGAAUAUAUUGUGUCAAAUUGACACAACUAGAAUAUCUUCUAGCAAACGUAUCCAUCCAUUUUAGAUGUCCACCAACCAACGAGUCCCCCUGACGAAUUUUUCCUUCCUUGUGUGAUGCCUAUUACUAACGGUUGUGCACAGGAGCAAAUGACAGCCUUUUCGAAUAGGUUAAACUAGGAGGAUUUCCCGCGCGUUGCCACGGGUAUGAAGGAGGAAUAUAAUAAAUAUAUAACUCUUUUUGUUAGCAUAAUCAUUGGAAAUUGUAUCCAUAGUGGAUGAUGUGUCUCGCUGAUGUGGAUGUCAUAAUUCUUAUGCUAUUUAACUUUAAUGCAAAUGAUAGUAGAUUGCUGAGGUGGACACCUUGCAUGUUAAAAGAAAUUGAUAGAUGCAAAUGAUAGUGGACUACUGAGGUGGACGCUUUGCAUUUUAAGAGAAAUAGAUAGUGGGGUUGAUAAUGGACUGCUGAGGUGGACCCAUUGCAUGUCAAGAGAAAUAGAUAGUGGGGUUUUGCUUUAUAAGAGUUAUUCUGUGUCUGGUGCCUAGCAGGGUUACGCGGCGUGAGAGUCAAAUGUGAACUACACUUAUUUAAUCGUCAUAAAAAUAGAAAUCUUCUAGUCCUUCCGUCCUAAAUUUAUAGGACAUUUCUAGAAUCUUGAAGAGUCAAAAUAUUUGAAGUUUGACCAAAUUUAUAUAAUAAAAUAAUAAUAUUUAUGAUAUUAACUAAGUAUCAUUAAAUUCUUCAUUAAUUAUAUUUUCAUAUGUUAUUUAGGUCAAUCUCAAUGGAGUUUUAAUAGAGUUUCGUGAGUAUUAAAUAUGUUAAUGUGGCACCGUAUUAAUGAAUAGAAAGAUGAUAAAAAUUCCAUGGGAGUAGAGAGAGUUUUAUGGGGAUGAAACUCUUCUGCACAAUUUCUAAAAUACGGAUGUGGUGGAAACUAGAUCAAAAAACUCCACUGAGAAUAGUCUUAUUUGGUGUCAUAAAUCUUUAUACUUUUCUCUAUAAUUUUGGUUAAAAUUAAAAUUUUUGACUCUCCAAAUUUUUUUGAAUAUCUUAUAAUUUAGAACUGAGGAAUCAUUUAUAUUUAGGAUUAGGAUUAUUUGACUCUAGAAGAGUGAGAUUGUUAUGUAAGGUAGUUUAUUUUAAUAUUCAAAAUUUAUCAUGUAAGGUAUCCCUCUGUCAUGUAAGGUAGUUUAUUUUAAUAUUCAAAAUUUGUCCUUGAAUAUAAUUUAUUCUGAGUACAAAAUAUAUUUAUAUAUUAAAUAAUUUUUGUUUAUCUGCCAAUCAUCUUUAAUUAAGUUAAUAAUAAUACUUGAUUAAAAAGAAAAGCAAGAACAUAAAUGUAUUUUAUGUUUUCUUAAUUUAUUUUAAAAAUUUUAGAACGCACACGGAGUACGAUCACAGCGCUGGGUAAACACCGAUGCAAAUCGCACAAAAGACCACGCCUUUGCCUAGACGGGCCCACCGAGUCAGGCAAGGUGGCGGUUCCACCGCCCACCGGCCCCACACGUCAUACAACCAGGCAUGUCACACCGUCCACACACGCCAAGCGUUCACACUUCACACGUUCUCCAAAAUCACCUCGGAUUCUUUUCAUCGUGCAGUAAAAAACCUGCAAAUGACCCUCCACUCCAUCCAGUGAAGACUUGAAGACUCGUGCUCCAUCUAUAAAUGGGACCCCCAAGGCUCACAGUUUCUCAUCGCCCCGUCCCAAAUCCUCCACACUGUUCGAUCCACCCAACCCUCCCCAAAACCCCCGACCAAGGAGAGUAGAGCGCGAGAAGAUGUUCGGCUUCGGGCACCACGGCCACCACCACGGCGAGAACCCGCCGGCGCACCCUCCUGCCCACGGCGGCGUGCACCCGCCCACCUUCAAGAUCUUCUGCAAGGCCGACGAGGGGUACUGCCUCACCGUCCGCGACGGCAACGUGGUGCUGGCCCCCUCCAACCCGCGCGACGAGCACCAGCACUGGUACAAGGACAUGCGCUUCAGCAACCAGAUCAAGGACGAGGAAGGCAACCCUGCGUUCGCCCUCGUCAACAAGGCCACUGGCCUCGCCAUCAAGCACUCCCUCGGCCAGUCCCACCCGGUACGGUUGUCGAUCGAUCCGGUUGCGUGCGUGCAUACUUCCUGUUGGAUCUUUGGAUGCUGUCGGUCUUGAUCUUGAUUUCAUUUGAUUUUUUUUUGGUUUUCAGGUGAAGCUGGUGCCGUUCAACCCGGAGUACCAGGACGAGUCGGUGCUGUGGACGGAGAGCGGCGACGUUGGCAAGGGCUUCCGCUGCAUCCGCAUGGUGAACAACAUCCGGCUCAACUUCGACGCCUUCCACGGCGACAAGGACCACGGCGGCGUGCACGACGGCACCACCGUGGUGCUGUGGGAGUGGGCCAAGGGCGACAACCAGAGCUGGAAGAUCCUCCCCUGGGGCGACGAGGCCUACGCCGGCGGCAGCGGCGGCGCCGCCGCCAACGCGCCGUACGGCCACGGCGAGCCGACGGUCCGCAUCUACUGCAAGGCGGACGACGGGUUCAGCGUGACCGUCCGCAACGGCAGCGUGUGCCUGGCGCCGACGAACCCGCGCGACGAGUACCAGCACUGGGUCAAGGACAUGCGGCACAGCAACCGCAUCAAGGACGAGGAAGGGUACCCGGCGUUCGCGCUCGUGAACAGGGUCACCGGCGAGGCCAUCAAGCACUCGCAGGGCGAGGGCCACCCGGUGAAGCUGGUGCCGUACAACCCAAACUACCAGGACGAGUCGGUGCUGUGGACCGAGAGCCGCGACGUCGGCCACGGGUUCCGCUGCAUCCGCAUGGUGAACAACAUCUACCUCAACUUCGACGCCUUCCACGGCGACAAGGACCACGGCGGGGUGCGCGACGGCACCGCCGUCGUGCUCUGGAAGUGGUGCGAGGGCGACAACCAGCGCUGGAAGAUCGUCCCCUGGUGUAAGUCAAAGCCUCACCUCACGCUGAUGCACGACACUUUUCACUUGCUGCCGCUGCUUUUUUUUUCCCCACCUCCAGAAUCUUGAUUUCGGAUAGAAAAAUCAGCACAUCUUACCUACUCGCACUAGAAGCUUUCAUAGAUAAAGUGAUUGUCGGUAGAAACGGAUAGCUCAUCUCGCUACUAUUGUUAGUCCACCUUUUUUUGAAUUAAUAAUGUGUCUAACAUUUCUGUCAAAAGAAGAUUAAUGACGUGUUAAUGUUGCUUGCGUCUGCAGAAAUGUGCGGUGCUGGGGCUGCAUUGGUCAUCACCCAAGAUCUGGAGAUGGAGUUGGAGAGCACAGCCACCUGUGGUCAGCAGCUGCUGCUGCUGCCGUGUUGUUAGAAUAAAGCUGGUGUGCGAUCGAUCCGUGGUGAUGGUGUGUCUUUGUGUGUGUUCAGUCGUGUGUCCUCGGAGCCAGUCCUGCUUCCGUGAGAGAGGGGUACUUCCUCGGUGAGCUUAUCUCACAAAGCCUUACCCCAUCUGAAGCUUGUUAUGCAGAGAGAGUUUUCAGACCUUGAGUGUUAACUCUGUGUUGUACUCGGUUCCUUCCCUUUUUAUCUAAGUGGGUUUUAUCAACCAUAUCUGCUCGCGGUUUAGCUUUGACGUUACUUGCUCCCAACCGAUAAUCGGGCACUGUCAACUGAAGCCCGACGCCCGUUCACGCUUUUUCACUGUUGAAUGCAGAAGCAGAGCAUCGCGUCGUCAGGUUUGCCAUGCGCACGAGCGGGGUCCGGGGUGUGAGUGCUCGUCCGAUCUGGUGAGACAACCCUGGUGCACGCGGCGCAGGACACAGAUAGAAAAGUAUAUUAUCCUCGAGGCGCAUCAGGCAAUGGACCGCUGAUCGCACCAUGGAACUGCUCGGGGGACGCAGUGCACGGCGCAGCGCAAUGUCCGGCCGGCGAGCCACGUUCGUCGUUUCUCAAUCCAUCCACCGCCACCGUCGUGGAGGCUAGGCUGUGGAGCUGGCUGCGUCACCAUUGAUGGUGGCAGGCAGGACUGCGCAAAGGCGUCCUCUUCUCUGUCUCCAAUCCAAGUCCUUCCACGUGUCGGCUGGCCCCACGGUAUGCCGUACUAGGUGGAAAUGGUUUCGGUGAUCCGGUGGAAUAUGCUCGGGACGGCAGCGGAUGCGAAUCAGCCUUCGAGGAGCAAUGCAGCAUGUCUUCGACAGAAAACUUUCAUCAAAGAAUCAAUCAAAGUUCAAACUUAACAUUACGCUGCGACAUUGCCAUGAUGGCAAAUGCAGCAUGGAACGAACAUUAGAGUCGUCCGAGCACGGGGGCAGCAAUUAUAUGGUGUCAAACUGGAUUAAAGCUAGAAAGCUGGAGAAGUACGUAAGGGCGCCUUUGCCUGGUUCUCUGAAACUGAAAGUGAACACCCUUGGAGCUUUCUAAUCAGAGCUCUAGAACGGAGGGACGUAGUGGUGCUGGUGAAGGCCUGUGGUGCUGGUGAGGGCUUGAGGAAGCUCACUGGUAUGGUAUGGCAAUGGGAACCCGGUGGAUGGCCUCCGUAGACAUCUGUGAUGCCGUUGCUUUGGCUGAAAAGCCUGUGAAAGGGCGUGGAGGGACCGAGGGAGCCGAGUAGUCCUGCAGUCUCAACAUUAUUUCCGUUUCACAUGACAGAGGAUUCCACAUGGACACAUACUCAUCGCUGAUUUAUCGUAAAAGAAAAACAUUGUUGACUGACAUAAAAAGUACGGCUGAUAAGACAAGUGAAUGGGCUCCCUAGCAGAAAUUUUACAUUUAUUUCCAUCUCAUUUAAGGUCGUGUUUGGAUUAUACACCUAGUAUGCAUAGGAUUAUUAUAGUUAGGGUUGUAGAUUAUAAUAAUUGAAGUUGGUCAAAGAAAUUGCUAUCUUAUCCUUCGGUUUGGCGAGUUGGAAAACGAGCUGGCGGAACUUUCAGCACCUAUAACCUGGUCUCACAUGGAUUAUGAGAUUGUGGUAAUCAAGGGUUCUGAUUCGAGUAACCCUUCAUAUAAUCAAUCUUGUUUGGAUCAAAAUUUGAUUAUACAGAUUUUAUUAUUAUAAUUAGAUGGUAUCCAAACACGGCUAAGUAGCCAUACUGAUGGACACCACGAGAAAAUUCUUCCUUUGAUACAAGGAAAACUUCUACUUUCUAUCUGACACACAAACUUAAAAUAUUUUCUAUUUGUCAUCACUUUCAUUUUUCUUUCCUGUUUGACACUUUUUGUUACCUUAGAAUAGUAAUGGUGUUAAGUUCCAGAUGAAAAGAUUGUUCUGUCCUUUUUUUUGGCCAGUCGUGGCAUUGCUUUUGGCGGCAAUAGCUGUAUUUUUUUUGGCAUUUUUAUUUCCGAUUGUUAUGUUUCUCUUUUCAAAUUGUUCCAUUGGCAACGGAAAACGUGAUGACUAAAAAAAACAAUAGGGGCAAAAAUGGUGUUUUCAUAUAGAAUCUAACACUGUUACCAAUCUAAACUCUUAUGUAAUGGAAGUGUCGAAUAUGAAACGAAAAAAAAUCGAAAAGGAUGACAAAUGGAGAAGGUUUUAAGUUUAGAAGUCAAAUAGGAAAGCGGUUUUUUUCUAGUGUGAAAUAGAAAAUUUUCUCUAGAGUAUUAGCCUAUUAUGUAUUGUGUUUGAAAAUGAAUAUGACAUACUUUGAAGAUAACUAAUUUUGAUUAGUCAUCGACACUAACUUUAUCUAAAAAUUUACAAUGCCUGUCUUAAAAGGUUGUAAGCUCUACAAUGCUAUAACUGGAUGGUUCAUGGACUAGAUUGUGUAAUUGGCCGUGCCUAGACUCUGUAAUCGUCAGUCCCGCUAAUGGUUCUUGCCAUGGGGCAAACGCACACCGUCCAAAUGAUGUACCAGCGCGUCCAAAUGGUUCUUCCCUAGCCUAUUGCAUUUGCACCCAAGUAGUCAGCUCGUCUAUGACUGGGUUGGGCCUUGGCCGGAGCUGCCACCAGCCCACCACGACUGUGCUUGCGAUGGGCCUGUGCUGUCUAGGGUGGCCCAAGACGGGUCCUUUGAAAUCCAAACCUUCAUUACGGCUGGCCCAACUAGCCCAUUGGAGGAAGUGGCCCAAGACUGCUCCUUUGACGGCCUUGGUUGCUUUCCUUUUCCUGAUCGCAGCUCGUCAUCAACCUAUCGAGACCUGCUUGAUAGAAACAGGAUCUACUAGCAGUGAAUCGAGUCGGGGUACAAAUAAUAUAUAGCAGUAAACAGUGGUACAUGCAUAUGAUUAAUCUACUACUAGAAACAGAGAAACAGAUAGGUUAGGGUUUCGACCAUCAGCGUUCCCGGCAAAAGCGGAUCCGGUGGCGUCCAUAUUGAGAGUGUUGACGCGGUGGCGGAGUAGAUCCCGUCGUCCUUCGGGCCUCCACCGGCACUGACCGACGACGGCGGGGUAGGAGAGUGGCGCAGUGGUGCUUCCCGUCGCCACUGCGCAAGCCGAUCGGAUGGCCUAGGGUUUGUCGAGUGGGUGAUGAGCACAGCGAACUUUGGUUCAUGUGCCUGCGGCCCCCACUUCUAUUUUUAUAGUGUGCCUCCGGAGGCCUACCAACCAUGGAUCGGUUGUGCGUCCCCGAUCAGGACACGAUCCAGAGGGAAAAAGGCCCCAGCCGUUGGGCUGGGCCUGAGAACACUGCUGACUACUAUAGGCCGGAACCUUUCGCCAGCAGGCUAGGCAACGGAACAAUCUGCAGCAGCGUGGCACGAGCGUCGCCGCAUGCCCGUGAUCGUGAAGCAUCCUGUAAUAGCCUCCUCGUCGUCCUCGAAUCCAGCGUCCUGCCGGGCAGUGCCGCCAAAACCAGCACGGUGCUCCGGACCGCGAGCCGCAGUCAGAACAGGGUCGAUCUGUCUGGAGCGCAAGAGACAAUACAUCCUCGUGGUCAAGAGCCGGAUCCAGGAUAUCUGAAGUCUCUGCUGCUGCUUUCGUGUACAAUCCGUCCGUGCGUUCCAUCCAUCCGGACUCCGGAGGCAGUCAAAUGCUACACUCGCCUAGCUAGGAGGACUGGACUGAUUGCGAUCCCGAUCGAGUCCUCGUCGCCCGUGCGUGUCGCUCCACUCAUCUAUCUGAUGGAUCGGUGGCUUUUUUCUGACGUCGGUAUCCAUCGGAGGAAGCCUGCAUCUACGUGAUCGCGGAUGGAUACCGAUACCCUCGGGGCCUCAUCUGCCGGAUCGAGCGUUUUGCUCCCCGGUUUGUGCUCCGGGAUCGCUGCACGGAUGUCGCCGGCCGACGGGAAUUAUAGCUAGGUCGACGCCUAGUAGGAUUCGCGCCAGUACUCCUAGCUACGUUACUCCUACGUUGCAAGGGCAGGGCAGCACGGCGCUAAGGCCAAUUUCGAUGAACAGUAUCACUGUACGAUUUCAGAUACCAAUACAUUAUCGAGAUUGAAAUAAAACCAUCUAUGGAAUAACCCCGCAAUGGAGUAUUUCACUUUGUUGUUUCCAAAGCUAAGCAAAGUAUUUAAUUGCUGCAAAAUAAUUAGAUCACAUAUAAGAUGGUGAAACGAUUUAACCCUCAGUGGAGAUUUCAUUCCGUUUCACCGCGUGGGAAACAACGUCCGUGGAACUACUUCCUUCUCUCUCCUCUUCGUUUCAUGCAAAAAGUGUAGUUUUGCUGACAUGACGCUCUAAUAAAUGUGCAUGACAUCCUGGUGAAACCUCCACUGAGACUGGCCUAACAAGACUUGUAGUUUCAUGGAGUAUGCACAGAAACUAAAAGAACAGGCAACAUGAUGGCAUAAGAUACCCGAAGGGAACCAUAUAUUUCAACCGUGUCCCGUUGCUCUGGACAAUAUGCAGUAAGUACAUCAAAUUCACAUUGCGCGAGUCAUGACAUUGACACGGAAGAACACUUCUUUCCUUUUUUUUCCAAAAUAAAUAAAUGAAUAAAUAAAAUACAAACAUGCUGCCUGUGAGAGGACAGGUACGAUGCAUUAGUCAUCAUUCUCGUGUACGUAGUAAACAAAACGACUAUAAUCCUGGUGAGGGAUUUGAUUGAUGUUUAUUGUCAGGUCGGUCACCAACCAGCUACUGCUCCACGGGUACAGGUACACAAUACUGACCAGCAAGUCAACCAGCACAAAUAGUUUUGCACCAUAGAAAGGAAAAUAUAUUGCUCGCAAAGGAUUCGACAGCUUAUUCAUUGUCAUAAAAAUUACGGGACAAUCAAACCAGACCAGAGGACGGAGAGGCACCACGGCACCAACGCAUAUCCAGCAUCUACGAGUUUCUUUAUGCCUUCUCGGUUUAUCCUGUCCAUAUGCAUCUCAUUUGUUUUUCUGCCGUUGAAAUUAGUGUAAGUUAUUGUGCGAUGCUGACAGAGGAACUAUAAUAGUACGCCGGCAUUACAUUUUUCAGGCAUUGAACUUUGUAUGCCCGUUGUCCGUUGACAACGAUAUAUAUCAUAGUCAGAAUCCGCAGCAUGCACCUUGAGCACCACGACUUUUAAGGGUUCUAUAUAGACGCAAUUCUCUGUUGACGAAGAUUAUGAUUCCUUCUGUGUUCGAUUCUGGUGAUUUGGCUGUAUAAGUCACCAUAGAACCACAAAAUAACUAACCGAAACUUACUGGUGCAGAUACUACUACAUCCAUUACAUCAAGAACCACCCAGCGCUGUGACCGUACUCCAUUGCCAUCAAGAAUUUAUCCUGGUAUAUAAUUCUGUCAUCCUCUGCAAAUUGAUCUUUUCUUAAUCGAUAAUCACACGCAGCGCACACAGACCACUCCAUUUCCAAAACGAUCCAGCCCCAAGUGGGCACCAAUUCCACACGAAAUAAUCCAUGCAUUGCAAACAUAAGCGAACACCAACCCCGCACGUACACACAACCAACGUGUGCGCUUAACCGGAACUCACUAGAACUCGAUCAAUCGCGUUGUAUUAUUGUAUACUAUAUCCAUCUCUGGCAUGCGUCUGUGUCUUAUUUCCCCGGCCUGGGCCUAUAGCUAGCUAGCUAUAGCUAGCUGUGGCUUGCUCCGUCGGGAACGAGUUGCUUGGGUGUGUUGGUGAAGCAGCACGAAUAGCUCGCUAAUCUCCAAAACCCCGCAUGAGCAUGACCCACGCGAUUAUUAUUAGCCACAGCACAGCCAUGUUCAUUAGGCCUUAGGUCGCCGCCGAUCCCCGCCGGCCAACGGGCCGAGCGCGCGAGCGAGGCAUGUGGCUACGGAGGCCGCCGCGUGUGGCGUGCGGCCGCGGCCAUGUAUACGCAUGCACACGUCCGUCCGCGGCCGCAAUCGCACAGCACAGUGUUCGACGGACAUGGCGGCGGCGUCGACGAUCGACUGUCUCGUGCUGGCCGCAAAGGUUCUCCUGGCCGGGUUGAUGCGCACGCAACUCGAUCGAUCGGUGUAGAUGGCUAGCUGUGCCCUUCUUUGCUUGCGUGCGUGACACCGCUUGCAAAUGGUUAUAGAAAUGCUGAGUGUUUAGUGUGUUACACGGUGUUUUUCUGGGCACGAGCACACGGACGGAGCAUCAUCUGGCCACCAGUACAUUAUUGUUCGCUCGUCUUAUUAUGAGAUGUACUGUUUUAGCGAACAAACAGUGUUUUUCUCUCGCAACAACAAAUCCGCGAACGGUGUUUUUUUACUUCUUCGACGGAUGUCCACUGCACCUAUCAAGCUUUGCUGCGCUUGCUCACGGCAGGCCCGGGGAUGUGGCUCUGCCACUCUGGUCUUGUGGGCUUUCUGGCAUCCUCAUCAUUCCUUCUCGCAUCAUGCACACUGGCUAGCUAGUAGUUGAUCUCACGUCUGACGUCAGUGCCAGAACAGCCAUCAGAAAACAGGAGUGAGGAAAAAAAGAUGAUGGGUCGAUCGCAGAUACUACUCCGGCGUGUAGCGCGGUACCGGACGAGUUCCAAGCUUUGGUUUGAUAUUACUACUUUGGGCCUUGUUUAGUUCCUCAAAAAUUUUGCAAAAUUUUUCAGAUUCUCCGUCACAUCGAAUCUUUAGACGUAUGCAUAGAGUAUUAAAUAUAGAUGAAAAUAAAAAGUAAUUGCACAGUUUGGUCGAAAUUGACGAGACGAAUCUUUUGAGCCUAGUUAGUCCAUAAUUGAAUAAUAUUUGUCAAAUACAAACGAAAGUGCUACUAUUCCUAUUUUGCAAAAUUUUUUGGAACUAAACAAGGCCUUGAUGCAUGCGUGCAAACGUGCUGACAAGGCGCGUUGAAAUUCGCAUGCUCUACCUAACCAUAUCUUAAGAAGCGUCCUAACGCCAUGUUAUGACGACUCAUCACCUUCACUACAAAAAUGUUACGUACGACUAGUCUUAAGACCGAGCCUAAUAUAUCAUCAUCGCAGGGUACACGGAUGAUCCACGCACUCCACUCCGAUCCGCGCCCAUUGUUAAGGCACCCCGAACAGCGGACGUACGCUCCUUGUUUUUGCCCAGAAAAGAAAAGAGACGACGCAUGCAUGGGCUUGUACGAUCUCUACCAAACUAUACCGACUCAUGAGCCCUUUACCCUGACUUAAAACCCAUCUUCAGUACUACUAGAAAAGGUCUAGCGUUGAUCUUCGUAUUAGGGUCUUGUUUACUUUUUAAAAAAUUUGCAAAAUUUAUUAAGAUUUUUUAUCAUAAUAAAUCUUGAGGCACAUGUAUAUAACAUUAAAUAUAGAUUAAAAAAUAAUUAUUUGCACAGUUUACUUAUAAUUUACAAGACAAAAUCUUUUAAACAUAGUUAGUCUAUUGUGAAAUACAAACGAAAAUACUGCUGCGUUCAUUUCUAAUUUUUUUUCAACUAGGCCUAAUAGGCGAUAAAAGUCCAUGCUUGGAUGAUAGAUGGGGAGCAGCGGCAGCAUGUGCGCAACAAUUUAUUUCACCGCAGCGUACGGCCGCGGCGGGGCGCCGGGCAUCGCGAGACCGCCGUCCUGCAGCUGCCGGCGCGGCGCAGGCUGGGACGAUCUCGAGAAUUACCGCCGCCACGCGUGCAUGUUAACUACGGUUUAUGCCGUGCCACCAGCCUAUUAUUAGCGCUAACGUGAGCGGUUAAAACACUUCUACUUGGGGUACUACUGCUCCUAUCAAUCAUGCGCUUCGAUCGGCUUUUAUUGGCAGGCCCGUCAGCAGUCGUGAUUGCUGCCUUGCUGGUAGUACUCCUACUUACCACGAAGAUUCUUACCACGUGUCGCCUAAGGAGGUGAUCCAGCCAUUAUCUUUGGUACGGAAGUAGUAGCAGCAAAUACAAUGUGCAAGAGUUACGGCUAGCACUUGGGCUCUUCCACCGUGAGAGCCUGUAACACUACCCCAUCAGGUUGCUUUCACUACAGACUACUCGUAGAUAGCUCGCCCGCUGUAAAAAUUGUCACGUACUACUGCGUCCAUCCCUUCUCGUAGAAAUCGCAAUUUUCACACGGAGACGCGCCACGCGCCAGGCUAUCGGUUAUCUAUCGCGGUAGCACGAGUAAAAUCAGUCAAACAAACGGGCCGUGACUGCCGUACGCCCGCAACUCUCGACGAACGAACGACGGGAUGGUGACCAGACCAGCGCGUGCGAUCACAUCCUCGCCGUGCUUUAGCACAGUUUAGCCGCACAAAACAACGGGCUCGGCGCGCAGCAACACCUGGCCCGCGUACGCACCGCAUUGUCCCACCGGACGCGCACGUACGCAGCGCCGGCGUAGACGCGUAGUGCGCCUUGUAGCCCGGCGGGGCGGGCGCCGCGCCGCACACGACGGCACGGACGGUCCCGUCGCCGGCCUGCGCGCGGUCACGCUCGCUCUGUCGCGCCCGUGCUGGAUGUUCGACGGGAUGGGCCGUGGGCGUUGGGCGGCGGCCGCGGUUGGGUGCACCUGCGCGGACGAACGGAUGGGACGCGGCACGCGCCGCACUGCGGAAAGCGUUCGUUUUCCGUUGGGCCCGCCCGCCCGGGUGCCGCCGCAGCUGACGCGAGCGCGUCGCGCGCACAGUUAUCCGAGAACCGAAGGUGCGUCGCCUAGCCUGUCAGGAUGAGGUCGGUACUCGGUAGUUAAGCCGGACACCGUGAGCCUAGGCGAUACUCACUCUGUCUUGUAGAACAAUACUUCAACUAGGCCUUAUUUAAUUUGUGAAAUUUUUUAACUUUGGCUAUUGUUUCAUUUUUGUUUAUAUUUAAUAAUUAUUUUUAAAUCACAGACUAACUAUAUUUUAAAAAAUUUAUCUAGCAAAUUACAGAUAAACUGUAUAAUUAAUUUUUAUUUUUCGUAUAUAUUUAAUACUCUAUGUAUGUGUUUAAAAAUUUGAUGUGAUGAGAAAUCUUAAAAAAAAUUAAGAACUAAAGCAUGUCUUAAAAGAACACUGAAAUGACAUAUGAAUUUAUAGAUUAUUUCAACAAAUCUUGCCAAAUCGAAAUAUAGUCAUAAUUUAAAAUGCAUUAUAUUUCAAUAUAAACUUUAGAAGUCCAAUGCACUUUAUUUUAAGAUGAAGUAUAUGCCUUAUAAUAUGUUUCUGUAUUGUAAUGGACGGCAAAAGAGGUGUUUGAUCUUGUCUGAGUAUCUUGGUGGACACCAAAUAAAAAUCGAGAUACAUGGUUUAUGUGUCUUCCAUACAAUCGUGUUUCAAGAGAUUCAUCAUAUCAAACAAUCAAAGUCAACUAUUUAUUAUAACUACUAAAUUCGUUCUUGGGGCGGUGCUUUGUUGCAGAUACGUAAGGACAGUCCCAUCCAAUAAGGCGGUGUAGGUUAGGGUUGUUACAGUUUAAUAGAUAUUGUAGUAUUUUUGUUUUAUUUAAUAAUUAGUAUUAAUUUAUAGACUAAUUAGGCUCAAAAGAUUCGUCUCACAAAUUACUCUCUAACUAUAUUUUUAGUUUUGUAAAUAGUCUAUAUUUAGUACUCUAUGCAUGUGUCUAAACAUUUGAUGUGACGCGCAGUAAACUUUAACAUACGCAACCAAACGGGGCCUAAACUAGUUUGUUCCUAGCAUUGAUUAAUAUGCUAAUUAAAUAAAAUAAUGACGACAUGGCAUUAUAAAUAAAGAAUAGAGAUACGAAAUAGUUUUUUUUAUAAGAAAUUAUGUCUAUACAAGAACUACGACAAAAAGAAAUAUGAUAGGUGGUCACGGAAGAGAGAAGGUAUGUAACUGAUUAAAAAUCUAUUUUGAAGAAACUAUUCAUCAAAAACAUUGUGUUGCAUAUAUGUCCUAGCAAGUAUAGAAUCGAAUGCCUUGGGAUUUUGACCUUGCAUCGGUUGUUUAGUGAGGCUUUUUGACUAGGGCUGGUUAUGUGCCCGUUCGGCUCGACUCGCUUAUUAGGUCACGAGCCAUGUAUAAAAAACAUACGAAAGUAACACAUCAUAAACAUUAAAUCAAGUACAUUAAGUAACAUGGCAAUAUAUAUCAUAGCAUUAUACAAUACAUCCAUGGUUCAUACUGCAUACUAAUACAUAAUGCAUCCAUAAUCCAUUAUUGAUUAUUUGUACGUCUAUUAAAAACAAAAUAAUAGAGUUUAAUACUUCAAAGUUUAUAGGGUCUAGGUUCAAACAUCAACCAGUUGUAAAGUGUAAACCAUUAUGUGAAAUAACUAAUUUAAAUUUAAGGUAAAUAAUAUGGCUCGCUAGUCUUGUGAACUAGCUUCAGCGAGACCCUACUACACCGCGGCGGGGUGGUGGGUGAUGGUGCCAACAAGGGCGUACCAGGAAGAAUGGGAUGUGUGGGGAGAAGGAGAAAGUGUGUAGACGAACUCUCUGCAAAUGCACAUGUGGGCUAAAGCAACGUCUAAACUUAUUUUAACAAUAACCAUCGCCUAAAAGCAAACUAAAAUCAGAUACGUGAACUUUAGCAAAUCGUAUAUUUGUGGUUGUCUUCACAAAGGACCUAGGAAGCCAAUGUUCGUCUCGUCGAACUUGAAUAGUAGACAAGUUUUGCGCAACUUGGCAUUCCAUCAAACAUAUAUGCCUAACUUAGCUUCAUGAGAAUUGUAUAGCAAGCCCAUAGGGGUGUAAAUGACGAAAUAAAAAACACUAGUAACUAUAUUUAUUUCACUUUUCCUAAAAAGCAGACGUUUGAAAUCUGUCUUUGGUCAGGUGAUAACGUGAUCCUUUGAUCUUGCUUCAAGAUUCUUAUACAUGAUGAUCUUCUCAUGGCCCACAGCCGUUGCAUGAACAAAUACCCGAAAAAUAGCAAAUACGUAUUUAUUUUGGUAUAGGAGGAGAUAUCGGAGACGUUUGUUUCUCGUUCUGGUGGAGUAGUAUCCCUCAAGUUCCUAUAAAAUUUUGUUGGGUUCACCAAUCAUUUACUGAGAGAGUUUUCUCGCUCCACUACGCUUGAUCGGGGGACAGUAGAGGACACUCAAGCACCAACUACGUCUCGGCCGUUUGUGAGGACAUCCUACGAUUCUAUCUACUCCUAUUAUCAUCUUCCAUGCGAUGCUUAUCUCUAAGAAAAAAAGAAUCUUCUUAUCCCCGACUUCCCAAGUGAGGAGUACUAUACUACAGUACUACCACCUGAUCCUGUGUGAGCGAGAGCAUAUCAGCUGGAGCUGAGCGCAUUGCGACACGUGACUCAUGUGGCCGGAUGCAGGCAAUACAACAGUUCCAUUCCAUGUGUAAAUCACUGCCAGGCUAAGAAUAGGCAAGCAGGAUUAUCCAAUCGGCCGGACAACAGCACCAGAAUACGGCUUCGGCUGAACCGGGUGGAGGCAGGAACUGCAGGGUAUCGUGGCCUGUAGGCGCGCGCGUUCGCAGGAAUCUCGCCGGUUCCGUCAAGGUUGUUGGCGCAUACACUCGCAUUGCGCCAGGAUUUGGGCAUGCCAUUGCCAUCCAUUGCCCACAUGAUCUAUCCAUUCCCCCACAUGAAAGAGACGACCUUUUGAGACAGGAAAGAUGCGUGUUUGAUUGUUUGAGCUGAUCACCGACCGAAAUUUUCAAUGCUAAUUGAUCCGGUACACCAGAGAGUGAGAUAUCCUCCCGGCCGGUGACUCGGUGAGUCAAGUGCAUCUUUUUGAAGGAUGCAAUGUAUACCUUCGGGGAAGGAUGAUGAUGGUACUGAAGCCGUAUGCUUAUCUGUUUAUGAUUGAUAAGGCCUUGUUUAGUUCGCUCCAAAAGCCAAAAUUUUUUUCAAGAUUCUCCAUCAUAUCGAAUCUUGCGGCAUAUGCAUGAGACACUAAAUAUAGAUGAAAAUUAAAACUAAUUACACAGUUUACCUGUAAAUUGCGAGAUGAAUCUUUUAAGCCUACUUACUCCAUGAUUGGACAAUGUUUGUCACAAACAAACAAAAGUGCUACAGUUCCGAAAACCAAAAAAUUUUCGGAAGUAAACAAGGCCUAAUGCAAAUGCAUUUCGGCGACUAGGGUGCAGGGCCUUCGGUAUUAAGAUUCCCUAACUGCUGGUACCGGUCAAAAUAAUCCAUAGAAAUAAAUAUAAGAUAUAUAGAUAUAAUGUAAAGCAAGAAUAAUAAAAGUAUUUGAAAUGUUUAUUUACGUUCCCCCUGGUUGGUUAUAGAUUGGUUCUUAUGCGGCAUUCGUUGGACCUUGAAUCAGUCUUCAGAAUAGACUCCUUCGAUGAAAAUUCUAGAGCAUAUUAAAUAGUUCUUAACAUAUCUUCUGAGCUUUCUACCGAAGAAUAGAAAGAACAAAUUGCUACAUCACUACAUGAGUAAGAUACACCAUGGUGGAUAGCAGCUUGAAGUGGAGCUGUUGUUGUUUUUGGUAAAGCAUUUAGUAAAUCGCUUCUUCUAGUACACUAAUGAUAUCCGUGUUUUUUUCUUUUCACCUCAUCACUCUCCUCACUUCCUCCUGCUCAUUCUUCUUCUCUGCCGCCCCCACCCUACCCGCUCUGUUUCCAACAAUCACCCUGUCCUUAGUUGUAUGCCGCCUAGUAACAGCUCGCCUCUUCCUCUGCCGCCCUCCGCCCACCCUACCUGUCACGCGGCCUUGGCUCCCGCCAUGGUCUCUGAUCGCUCGAGCUUCUUCUCCGCUGCCAACUUUGCGCAUGGCCCUAGGCCCCUAGGGACAUCGGUGUCCAUCUCGUGUGAGAAGGAAGCAGAUACAAUGAUAGCUACUAAAAAUCGUUUUACUCUCUAAAUUUUUAUUUAGUCCUUUUUAGCAUAAUCUAUUUAUGUUUUUAUUUUAGGUCUAACCGAUUUUGAUCGUAAUUUAAAUUGUAUUCCUAGACCCUCUAUUUGUGGUAACGCUAAUGGAAGCGUGUAACAAGCAAAACUCUACUGAUGCUUGGCUUGGCUCACAUUUCAAGGGUGUUUAGUUUCCCAUAGAAUUCAAAAUGCAAAAUACCAACUAUUUUGGAGUGAUGAAAUGCAAAAUGCCAAAAUUUUCAGAGUCAUGUUUAGUACAUCCAAAAUGCAAAAUUUAUUGUACUCUUGAAGCCUCUUGAGGCUCAUUUUGGGUUUUUUUGGCCUCUUGAGGCCAAAAUCUAAAAUGGAGAAUAACUACUUUUUUACCAAAAUUUUUGCAUGGUGUUUAGUUCCAUUUUGCAAAAUGAUGGACCAAAACCCAAAUUUUUUGGCAAAAAAUGGGAACUAAACACCCCCUCACACAGAUAAUUCCGCUGCAUUCCGUCCAUGUCUUGCACUGUAAGCCUGGGCAUUCCGGUUACCUGAUUUUUUUGGGUCGGGUAAUUCGGGUAAUUCAAAAUUCGAGUAAUAAAAAUUGUUACCCGAUAUUAGUCCCGAAAAGCCACUACCUGCAAUUUCGGGUACCCGAUAAUUCGGGUUCGGGUAUUCCCGAUUUACCCGAAUUUUCAAAAAACAACACAGUACACAAAUUUUCAAUAGCAAUUUAUAUAUAAUUUCAGCAGCAAUUUGUAUAGAAUUUCAAUAGCAUUUUGUAGAGAAUAAUAUAUUACUAUCACUUGUUCCAACAAAGAGAAUUAUGUUCUAAUAAAUUGAUAAGUUCUAAUAUUUAACUAACAACACAUGAUAAAUGCAAAGACAUGGAUAAAUGUUUGGGGGUAAUUCGGGUAGUUCGGGUGCCGAGGUAUAUUACCCGAAUUACCUAAACUAAUUUUGGGUAAUAAAAAUCGCUAUCUGAAUUUAGGAUUAGGUACCUCGGGUUUGAGUAAUUCGGGUUUGGAUCCGGAUAAUUCGGAUACAGAUAAUAGGUAUUGGAUAAUUUGUCCAGGCUUAUUGCACUGCACUUGGAUACGUCUGGAAGCCUGGAAGAACACGAGAGGAGGGGGGGGGGGGGGGGCAAAAUAACCGGUGGCUAUUUCCGGCCAGAACAGAAGCACGUCAUGGCUUGACAUUUUGCCCUCCGGCCGCUUAAAGCGUGGAUCUUGGGCCUUGUUUAGUUCCAAAAAAAUUUUGAAAAACUUUUCAGAUUCCCCGUCACAUCGAAUCUUUAGACGCAUGCAUGAAGUAUUAAAUAUAGAUGAAAAUAAAAACUAAUUGCACAGUUUGGUCGAAAUUGACGAGACGAAUCUUUUGAGCCUAGUUAGUCCAUGAUUGGAUAAUUUUUGUCAAAUACAAACGAAAGUGCUACAGUGUCGAUUUUGUUAAAUUUUUUGGAACUAAAAAAGGCCCAGGGUCUGGGACCAAGCCCUGAUGGCACUACGGACACCGAGUGUGCCCCCUUCCGAAACCGAAUGGGAAAACGGCUCGUCGUCCCGUCGAAUUUUCUGCGCUUUUGGUCCGGUUGCGCCCAUACACCGGUGUAAUGUGUAAAGCCCUCGGUAUCUUUGCACAAAAUUGUCGCCGUUGCCGCCGGUCCGUCGUGUGACGUUUACGCGCGUCCAGUAGACAGCGAACAAAGAGUUUCCCAAAAGAACGGAAGCGAGCACCACCGCAAAGCACGGAGCUCCGCCUGGGCGCCUGUCAUGGUAAUCUGGAUUCCUCACCGUUUUCUGGAAAGGAACUGGCCGGGAAUAUCUGCUGCCCCUGCCCGGCCCGGGCAGCGAGCGCCGGGUUGAAUUCUUCACGCUGGCAUGUGGGGACAGAUAGAUAGGCUCCCCUGUGUAACCUGUUGCCCAGUCCCACUCGUUUUUUUUUUUUUUUGAAAGCUCCCCACUCGUUUUCAAAGUCAGAGAAGUAAGCAAAACUCCUACUGUGCUGUAUUAAAAGGUUGUGAUGAUAUUUUAAAGCAGCAGAGCUCUGGUUUUCAAUUCUCAACCGCAUUUUUUUCUUCUUUUUACACAACAAUUCUCGACCGCAUCGUUGCCGCGUUAGCUGUGAACGGGCCGAGUGAAUAUUCCGCAGGCCAGUGGAGGGGUGCGGGGCGGGCACAGGAUUUGGACAAGGGUGGGGUGCCAUUAGGAUUAGGACAGGUAAUUUGGAAGUUGCUUAGGGGGCCAGUCACUGCUGGUGGCGCUGGCGGUGUCCGUUUCAAUACACUGUUUCCAAAACAAAUUUAUUGACAGAGCAUCAAUGAAACGAACAAUGAAACAACCUCCACAAUACAGUACGUAUCACCUUGAUGUUUCCUAGGCUGGGCAAAGCAUUUAAUUACUGCAAAAUGAUUAUAUCACAUGCAAGAUGGUGAAACAAUUUAGUCCUCAGUGGGGAUUUCAUCCUGUUUCACCGCGUGGGAAACAACGCCAGCGGAGUUUCACCAUGGUUAAACUAUUUUCUUCUUUCUCCUCUUCGUUUCAUGUAAAAAGUACAGUUUUGCUGAUAUGGUGCUCUAAUAAAUGUACAUGACAUCCUGGUGAAACCUCUACUAAAACUGACCUAACAAAGAGAAGAGAGGGAGAGACGUGAACCUGGCCGGCCCCCCGCCCCGGUCCCCGCCGGACGGGGUCCGUCGCCUACAAGCCGCCUCCGCACGGCUCUGCGCUCCCGGCCCGUCCGUCGUCCACAGCGUCGAUCUCGACCCAGCCCUAUAUAAAGCCGCCCCAGUCCCCCCGCUCCUCCAGUCCAAGCCCCUUGCCUUCUUUCUCAACCCACCUCUCUCUCUUUCACACACGCCUCUCCAUCUCUCUUCCUGCCUGAGGCAGCCAUUUCCGCUUCCGAUCGUGGAGGGAGGCUUGGAGUGGAAGGAGGAAAAGGAGGCAGCUGCUGGUUUUCGGUGCGGCGGAGAUGUCUGAGGUGUCGGUGAUAAACCAGGCGGAGGUGGAGGAUGCGGGUGCCGCCGGGCAGCUGGACCUGCCGCCGGGCUUCCGCUUCCACCCCACCGACGAGGAGAUCAUCUCGCACUACCUCACCCACAAGGCCCUCAACCACCGCUUCAUCUCCGGCGUCAUCGGCGAGGUCGACCUCAACAAGUGCGAGCCAUGGGACCUCCCAGGUUAGUACUUGAUACAUAUCCUCCUCAACGCCUCAUCAGCUAAACCUGCACCUUUCUUUUUCUCCCUUGUGCUUCUGUACUAGUAGUAGUACUUGUUUCUCGCCUGGAAAUCAUGGGCCUAAUUGAAAAGCUUGCCUUGCGUUUGAUUUCUCCAGGCAGGGCCAAGAUGGGGGAGAAGGAGUGGUACUUCUUCUGCCACAAGGAUCGCAAGUACCCGACGGGCACGCGGACCAACCGCGCCACCGAGACCGGCUACUGGAAGGCCACCGGCAAGGACAAGGAGAUCUUCAGGGGCCGCGGCAUCCUCGUGGGCAUGAAGAAGACGCUCGUCUUCUACCGCGGCCGCGCGCCGCGGGGAGAGAAGACCGGCUGGGUCAUGCACGAGUUUCGCCUUGAGGGCAAGCUCCCGCAGCCGCUCCCGCGCUCCGCCAAGGUCCGGCGACCCUGUUCUUAUCGCCUCGUUUAAUUACUUGUUCGGCUUUGGAAAUCUCCUUUUCCCUUUCCGGCCGGUGGGCUAAAAUCCACUUCUUUUUUGUUCUUGUGUGCAGGACGAGUGGGCCGUGUGCAAGGUGUUCAACAAGGAGCUGGCGGCGAGGACCGAGCCAAUGGCGGCGGCUGUGGCCGGCGCCGAGCUCGAGCGCGUCGGUUCGCUGGGCUUCCUCAACGAGCUCCUCGACUCCGCGGAGCUGCCGGCCCUCAUCGGCGCCGACGUGGACGAGGUGAUCGACUUCAAGGGCCCCGCGUCCACCUCCGGCCUGCACGCCGGCGCGCCGGGCACGAGCUACCUUCCGGUGAAGAUGGAGGAGCACGCGCUGCUGCAGCAGAUGCAGUACCAGCAGCAGCCGCCCCCGAUGUUCUACUCGAGCCAGUACUUCUCGCUGCCGGCGAUGAACUCCGGCGACCUCCCUCCGGCGAUCCGGAGGUACUGCAAGGCGGAGCAGCAGGUGGUGUCGUCGGGGCAGACGGCGUCGGUGGUCAGCCCGUCCCGCGAGACCGGGCUCAGCACCGACCGCAACGCGGCAGGCGGCGGCUACGCGGAGAUCUCGUCGGCGGUGACCCCGUCGUCGUCGCACCAGUUCCUGCCCGAGCUCGACGACCCGGUCCUCAACCUCGCCGACCUCUGGAAGUACUGAACGACGAUGGAUCGAUCGACCGGUGGCUGGCGCUGGCGGGCCGCCCACCCGCCUCGCGGCCUCGCCCGAUCACAUGAUUUGGUUGGUUAAUUGCUUGAUUUGAUUGAUUAUCUUGGUCUGUUCUGGGAUUGGGGUUGGUGACGGACCGCUGAUGCAUCGUCGUCACCUCCGCCAAGUCCGGCCUCAACUGACCUCGGGUCUGACUAGAUUAUUAUCCGUCCAGACCGCCAGGGGAUUAGGGCCUCCGAUCCUUGUUAAUUAAUCCCCCACCCAUCCUAGGUUCCUUGUCUUGGUCUCUGUACAUAGUACUACUACUCUGAUUGUGUCAUUAGCAGUAGCAUGAUUACUGAUAGGAUUAAUGAAAUGGGGGGUAGAUUAGGGGGGGCCUGCAUCUGCGUCAGCCGUCAGCAGUGCAGUGCAGGGGGGAUUUUAUCGAAUUGAUUAGUUAAUUUUGGGCGCUUGAUGAGCCACCAGCUAGCGCUAGCUUUAUACUACUACUAUGUACAUGUACUACCAUUAAUUGCUGCUUGAGCUCGACAUGCCAUUAUGUGAUGAAUUUGAUGCUUCAGUUAACCUCUUGUAAAAAGCUCCUCCGAUCCGUCCUCUUUGUACCGGUACCGCUUUCCACUUGUUGCUCCUUUCCGAUAUCUAGCCGCAACCGCCUCAUGGAUGCGAUGCGAUGGGUCGGGCCAUGAACGGAUCACAGAUCGUUCGAUCCCUGGGGCCCUCGCCGCCAUCGCACCGCACGCGACGAGACGACGCCAGGGGUAUGGGGCAGGCAGAGGCACUCAUCACUCGCUCGCCCCUGUUGGGAUCCAAAUCCGGCCAAUUAUUUGGGGGGAGGCGGGCGACGUCGUCCUCAUCGCGGCCAAUUGGUGGAUCGGCGGCCGCGGCAAUGGCUACCGCAAGCAAGGGUGGCCUGGCCUACCGCCCGCCGGCUCCAGAGCCUUAUCCUCCUCCUUUCGGAAACCUCAGCGGCGCGCCCGUCGCCGACGUCUCUCCACGCGCGCGUAAAAAGCCAGCGGAACAGACAGACGACACGGGAACACAGAAACCGACCGUGCACAACCACCAUCCUAACCAACCCAACCCGACUACUGCUAGCCGUCUAGCCUCCACGGCCCACGGUCGCCACGGGAGGAAAAAAAAAAACCUGCCAUCACUGCACCGACGACGGCCGACGGGGACGGGCCCGGUGAAGUGAAAUUACCGCGUGCGCGUGUGGGCGCGUGGGCGGGGCGCGCCACGCACGGGACGGCGUCGCUGCGGCCGUUGCGUUUCGUCUGGUUUCGCUUGUGCGCGCAGGCGCAGCACAGGAUGGGCUUGGCGCUUGCAUUGCUUUCCGUUGGAAGCAAGAGGCUUGUGCCGUUGUGCGGCGGUGGGCGGAGGCAGCGGACGCCGGGUUUCCGGGCGGUGUAUGGCACGGCCAGCGCGUCCGUUUCCCACGCGCUGGCGUUGCCUUGGUUGAUGCAUCAAAAAUCCGGUGAAGGCAGAGUGGGAUGGAAUGGAAGGAUCGGAGAGAUUCGCUGUGAUAAACAAGGAGCUAGUCAGCUACGUUGAUAAUAAUUGUCGCAUGGCGUGGCGCGGCGCGAAUAUUCUCUUCUUCUCAAGUUUCCUCUCACCUAAACCUCGCCGGCCCCAAGGCUACACGAGGGCGCCGGGACCGGGAGUGAGUGACGACGCAAAAACAACUCCGGCAGGAGCUGGUCACCUCACCUCCUCCGCGCGCCGUGGCCCUGCCGCUGGGUGGGUGGUGGUUUCGAUUGGAUUGGAUCGGAUCGGAUCGAACUGUCCAAGUCGUGGCACCGUGCGUGACGUCACAACUUUAGGCUCCCGUUCAUUGGCGCUCGCCUCUAAAUUAUACUACUGCUAGUACUACUAGUAUACUAGUAUUCUAGUGCUCGUCGUCCUUUUUUUUUCUCUCUCGUUGAAUAAAGAACACCAUCUUGGACGUAAGGGGAAGCUGGCUCUAGCCCUCUACUAUGAGCUCUACAAAAAUUAAUCAGCAUUGCUCUCUCUUUCCUUCUCUGCUCAGAGUGCAUGUUGCCUAGCUAGCUUAGCGCCCUGUGUUAGUGCCCGCGCUAAUCAAAUUCUCCCGGACCCGGACACGGGAGAUUUAGGUUAAUUAAUUGCAGAGGUACAUGUCCAGAUCGAUGCAGGUUGCUUUCAGUCUGGUGAUUAGGGCGCGGAUUUUCUAGUGGCUUAUCCGGCGAUUGACGUCGUCUACGACGGCCCACUAGCACGCAUUAGAUAAUCUUGUUUAAACGCUUCCUCGCUCCCGGCUUUCUUUAAUUUUCUGCACUGCAAUCACCGGCGGACGUGACGACUAACUACCCGGCAUAUGGCAGCGCGCGCGCACCGCAGGAGUCUCUCCAGACCUUUUUGCAUCACAACGGAAUUUCCCAACCCAAAGGCCAAAGCUCAACCGGUUCCGGACAUGGACAAGAUCAGGCUAAAAUUUGGCACUGCCCGGUGACGACUGAUGGUAUUUUGUUCGUAAGUUAUCAGGACAUGUUCGUGAUUAGGUCAUGAAUCGCAGUCUUUGCGCCGAGGUCCACCUGGUGAGUGGCGACCGGUCACCAACUAUCUGCCGGCGGCGAAGAGGAGCCUAGGUGCGCAGCUCAUGUGCGUCACAGUUCGCCGGGCAUAGGAGCAUAGGUGUGUGUGUGUGUGCGCGCGCGCGCGCGCGCCGGCGCGCUCCGUCUCUCCGGCCGGCCGUCUAGCUAAGCUAGCUGUCGGCUGAUCACUGCCGUCUCUCCGUCGGUUGUGGCCGUUUCUCAGUUUCUCCACAGCCCGUUUCUCAGUUUCAACUCCGCGGCGCGCCAGAGGGCGACACGCGUGCUGUCUUCCAGAAGACACACACAGGGCUCAACAAGUGGCCGUGUCAUAUAUUACAUACGCGACUGCAUUUUCGACAGCUGCGUGCAACCUUUUGUUUGCUCCUUGUGCAAGCAGAGAGACAUGGAUAUAUAUAUUGGCCGGUGGUGAUCGAUCCCAGAUAUACUUUUUUUGGGAAAGGGAUCCAACGAAGACCCGUUUUCUUAAAGCUUGAAAUCCUCGCUGACAACUGUGUUUGCGCACACGAUCUAUCGUUGUCCACUUGAUUUGGGCUGUCCUAAAGUGUUAAUUUCAUCUUAUCUUAUAUAUAUAGAUAUAGAUAGAAGAAUGAUAUUGUAGCAAUGCGCUAAGUUUUUUCAUGCACCUCCAUAAUAAAUAUCAAUGUGGUAUUAAUCGAUGCUAUCAUGCUUUUACGCUUUUACUAAUGGCCUACUAGAGAACAUAUGUUUACGGGCUUUUAAUAAGAUUUACUGCGUAUUAGAAUGUCUAAAUGUUAAACGGACUUGGAGGUCUAGUACAUAUAAUUUUUCAAACGCUAUAUUUCUUCAGUUCAUUGGUUUUUUUUAAAUCGAACGGUUUCAUGUUAAACAUGGGGUACUGAAUUUUUUCAGAGAAACGGCUGCAAAUUCCUUGCUCAGCGUCCUGGGAAGCUGUGGCGUACGUCACUGCACGUGAUGACGGGCCAGUUUAAUCCGCUGCCGCGCAAGUCGCUCUCUCGGGCACGACGUCUGACGCGCUUCGGCUCGUGCAGGCGCGUGCCAUGGCAAAUGUCGUUGCCGCCAUGGCCCCCACUAGUCUCCUCCGAUUGGUUUGGUCUAGUCUGUCUUGGUGUCCAAGAAAAAAAAAAAUCCCCCAAACCCAAAGGCCAAAAGCCAAACGGCCUUGGACCCACCACACGUGUCCAUCUCUCUCAUCUCAUGUUCUAGAUGAAAACCUCGUGCACUCAUGAUCUGAUCAUGGAUUUAUCACACCGCCCGCGCGCUACUACUCGUACUGCAAAGCAUUUCUUGGCUGCCAAUAAAUGGCCGCCCACAAUUAUCACAUCCGUUUGGUUGAUGAAAAGGCGCCAUGGAUCAUUGGUUUGUAGUCACUCGGUUCCCCAAAAAUGUAAUUAUAACACAGUUCAAUGUUUUUACAUACUCCAUAUUAAAAAAACUGGACGUUCUGGACUCCAAUCGUGAAAUCAGAAAACCUGACGUUCCGUGCUGGCGUGACUCUGCUUGGACGGGUUUACCCCUCGCUCUGCGUCUGUUCUGCUCUCGCGGUGCGUUUUAAAUGGCCAAAAAUAAUGGGGCCGGCAAGGAAUCGAACCCACCACCUCACGGCCAACAACUCGGCCCUCAACGCACUAGCCAUCUCAACAACAGAACUUUCUCGUAUAUAGUGCACCAACAACCAUAUUUAAUAGGGGUAGACAAGGAAAAAUACUCCCUAAUUAAUCACUCCUUGGCUACCGUAAUCAUGUCCAAAACGUCAGGUUUUUUUUAGUAUGGAGGGAGUAUCAAGUUUAACCAAUUAUAUAUUAAAAAACUAUAAUUUGUUAUGACAUAAAUUAGUACCAUUAGAUUUGUUAUGAGAAAUAUUUUUAUAAUAUAUUUUUUGUGUCAAAAGCAUUAAUAUUAAUAUUUUUAUCUAUAUUUCAGUCAAAGUUUAGACAUGGAAACUAAAAAUGAACCUAGAAUUACAUUCUCAACCGGACAAAGGUAGUAUACUCCGUAUGCUCUUGGAUCCCAGAAGUCCUAGAGAUACCCAUCAUCGUGUACUUACUAGCUACUCCUUGACUUAGAAUCGCCGCCAAACAGUCCGAACUACUGCCGCAACUAGCUCUACAAAGCUUGGCCGCCGUGGCACGUAUCUUCGUCACGACUCACGCCACAUUGUUCACAUGGCGUAUUGCCGUAUUUUGCCCCGCAUCGACGCGCCCCUUUUCUGACCUGACCUUACGAGGCACGAAUCCAUUGGCCAGCCGUAGCGUUUAAAGUACGUGCGCCGUGCAGAAAAGAGUGGACAAAAUGGCCAUGUGCUCCAAGGCCGUACCAACGCAUCAGCCCAAUGCAAGCGUGCAAGCUGUUGCCCUCCGGCGUGGUACGCCUGGGCGCCAUAUUUACUUUUGGUACGGAGUCCACGAUGAGUGUGCCGGCCGGCCACUUUACUGUGGCGUACGUGAUGCGGCCGCCGACGCGGGCCGUGCCGGAUCGGACGCCGGAGCAGAUAAGGUUUGGUGGUCAGAGGCUUCCAAACCUAGGCCUUGUUUACUUGGGAAUUUUUUUGCAAAAUUGCUACAGUAACUUUUUUGUUUGUAUGUGACAAAUAUUAUCCAAACAUAUAUUAACUAGGCUCAAAAGAUUUGUCUCGUAAAUUUCGACCAAACUGUAUAAUUAGUUUUUAUUUUCACCUAUAUUUAAUACUCCAUACAUGUGUCUAAAGAUUCGAUGUGACGGGGAAUUUUGAAAAAUUUUGCGUUUUGGAUUGGAAGUAAACAAGGCCCUACCCGGCGGCCUAUUUCUUCCGCACUUUUUUCCCGUGGUUGGUACGCCCUUGUCCCUGUCGUCGCUUGAUCACUCAAGUGACCGAAUCCUCGGUCUCAAGUGGUGCUUUUACUCGUGCUACACCGGAAGCAAACAGGCGGCACCGGGCGUUUAGUCGUGUGUUAGCUUUUAGGUUCUCGUGACAUAUGUCCAUCACCAAUGUCGUCUAUGCGUGUAUACGCCACGAACAAAAAAAUGACAUGAGUCAUGCAAUUGAUCGAUGUGCAUGGGGGGUCCAGCAGUACGUGUGAGAGCUAUAGCUGUACCCUGUACCAGACGCAUCGUCUCGGUCGUCCCGUGUACCUGCAUCUCAACUGCACGCUUGGAAAAGCUAGGUAGCAGUACCAGCAAUGCAGUCAACUGAUUCACAUAUACGUACACACGGUUCGCACUUUUCAGGGCUCGUAUAUAUUCUCUGUGCUGCGCUUUGAGUGUGUCCUUUGCGGUAUGCGCGAGAGAGUUUUGGAGGCUUGAAGCGCCCAUAAAUGUGCCGCGAAAACGAACAAGGGAGGGGGGGGGGGGGGGGGGAAGGAUUUGGCAAUAUACGCUACUGUAGAUGUUUGCCGUUUGGCCACUGCCACUCCAACGACUGUGCCAUGCAUCUCGGUCGGUGACAGCUGUUGUGUGCCAACUGCCAUGUCAACGGUUAUAAUUAAUGCGUUGGAUGCAUGUCUAGGCCUUGUUUAGUUCACCCCGAAAUUCAAAAAACUUUUCAAGAUUCCACGUCACAUCAAAUCUUGUACCACAUGCAUGAAGCACUAAAUAUAAAAGAAAACAAAAUCUAAUUACACAGUUUGUCUGUAAUUUACGAGAUGAAUCUUUUGAGCCUAGUUAGUUUAUGAUUGGACAAUAUUUUUCAAAAAAAAACGAAAAUGCUACAAUACCAAAAUCCGAAAAAAUUUCGGAACUAAACAAGGCCCUAGUAGUAAUAGGACUACUACGUUUUGUCCUCCUCCAAAGUACAACCAAUCGCCCGGCCGGGAUCUAUCAACAGUCAUGACGACGGAAUCGGAUCCGCGAUUUCUCUUCUAUACUCUACCAUGUUUUUAGUUUGAUUUUCGUCUGCACUUUUUCUCCGUCUCGUCCAAGAAGCUCGGGCUCCGGCCUCUCCGGCGUGUGGUUGCGUCGCGUCGCGGAGAUCUCGGGAGCUGCCAGGCCGGUGUGGUUGAGUAUGCCGUGGCGCCAGUGGGGAACUCCGACUGCGACGUCCCCCGGCCCCGGUCGUCGUCGCUGUCGUCGUGGCCAACAGUUGCGACGCCCAGCGCGGCAGCAGGAUAUGGCGGCUAUUACAACACGUUUUGCAAUUGCGCGCGUUACGUGGCGGCGGUUCUGAGAGUUUUAGAAGCAAGGGCUAGCUAGCUAGAUAUAUAUGUUCUCAGACAGCGUGUGGGUUUAGGCCCAAUAAGCUGUUGUUUUACAAUAUAUUAUAUGAAUCUGGUAUAUGACAUGUUCCUCCUCCAUAAAGUUCGUUAGCAGUUAUAUGUCUUACUUAUUUAUUCCUAGAGAGUGAAGAGUGUCAGAUUAACGUUCGAUUAUAGUUUAAGAUAAGAUUAGACAACAUGCACACGGCUGCGGAUGGAGACAAAGCUUAGGAGGUUUUUGGAAAACAAAAGCUUAGAAGGUGUUUAGAUGAGUCACUCAAAGAGUUGCCCAUUUGCUGCAUGCGCCGUUACCGACUUCUCUUCUGUUUCUGUGUAGUGUCGACUCCCCGAAAUGGGCCGGCCGGGAGCCCGCUCUCUAGUCGCAACAAGCGAAGGCAAUUCUCAAAUGAGAGCUCGUUCCCGUAGUUAUGAACCGAAUAAACUAAAGCAGCGGCCAAGUACUCUUGAGUUUUGACACGGUUCUACGGUCCAAACAUACAGGCCCGCAGCGCCGGGUCUACGGUCUACCCCGACCUUUAAUUUUACCCAGGGACUAAUAGUCGACAACGGAAUUAAUCAGGCUGGAAAAAAAAUUUGCAAACGGUUUUCUGACCGUGGCCCAGUUGCCCUGUACACAUACGAGAACGAGAUGAGGGCCCGGUCGGCGGUGCGAUCUCCAUCCAAGCGGAACCAGCGCACCCACGUCCGCGGCGUCGUCCUGGCGGGGCGCGGCAGCCGCGCGCUGCGGAUCGCAGCUUGCGUUGCACUCGAUCGGUGCGCGCCACCUGACGCGAAGACCCUCGCGUCCGCCGUCCGCGUUUGCUGUUCCAUUCCAUCCAAGGUAUAGUGGCCACAACGCGGAGGGCGUGAGUUGCCUUUGCCUGCCGGCCGGCCGGCCAUGGUGGCCAGCUUGACAAACGCAUGCAAUGGAACAAGCUGAAACCACAGUGCCGGAUCGGAGCCGCGAGAAAGAAACCCACCGUUGACCUCCGAUUCCCGCGCUGGAAUGGGUGCUCCUUCGUUCUGGAACGGAGAGGGCGACAUGAGCCGGGAGCCGCGACCACGGAAGAGGAUAGAGACGCGCAUCUGUAAUCUGUUUGUCUGUAGAGCGCGUCAGUAGUACUACGGUCUAGCUGAAGCCUGAACCCCCGGCCCGGGCUCCAUGUGGUUUGUCAAAUUGGCGGCACAUCUCCAACAGUUUGCCAAAUAAAGUUGCCAUCUUUAAAAAUUUAACAAAUUGCCAUCCAAGACCUCGACGCGCGUAUCUUUAAAAAUGAGGUUGGUAUUUUUAGCAAGUUGUCAUCCAAAGCCUCCACACGCGUAUCUUUACGCGCGCGUAUACACACGCGCAUCCUACUCGUCGGGUCCUGUCUUGCUGUUGCUUGUCAUACAUGGUGAUGGGACAUGAUGGUUGAUGGCGCCUGCUGCAGGACAUGAUGGCGCCGUGGCGUGAUGGACAUGAUACUACCGCAUGGUACUACUGAAUAAAAGAAGCAUAAACGGUAUAAAAAAAUCAUUGCUCAAGUGAAAACAAAUCACGGAUUACAUUUGAGUAUUUUAUUGUUUAAUUGGAUGAAAUAUAAAUAUGGCCUUGUUUAGUUCAUCCAAAAACCAAAAAACUUUUCAAAAUUCCCAUCACAUCAAAUCUUAUGUCAAAUAAAUGAAACAUUAAAUAUAGAUAAAAAUAAAAACUAAUUACACAGUUUACCUGUAAAUCACGAGUAAAAUCUUUUAAGCCUAGUUACUCCAUGAUUGGAUAAUAUUUAUCAAAUAAAAACGAAAGUGCUACAGUAUUAAAUCCAAAAACUUUUUGAAUCUAAACAGUGUCGAUCCAUCACAAUAAACUAUAACAUAUAAAAUCAAGUGUAUGAAACAAGAUCCGGACAUUUUAAAGAAAACAUGUUAUAUCGGCCUCCAAAAUAAUAGUGGACUUGUCCACAUGCCCCUUGUUGGGAUAUGUGAGGUAUUCAACUCCAAAAAUCUUAACAACUGCAACAAAAAACCUACGUAGGCUCUCAAGCGCCGUACUUUGGCAAGUUAAAAAUAAGAAACUAUUGGAGAGAGUCUCUUUUUAACUUGGCAUAUUCUUUUAGCAACCUGCCAAAACACAACAUUUGCCAAGUGAAUUUUGACAAACUGUUGGAGAUGCUGCGCUACUGCCCAUUUAAUCGGCCCCGAUAGAUCGUGUACUCUCGUCUGUUGUGAAAUAGAGUAUACUAUGACUUCUAAAAUUUAUAUUAAAAUAUAAUAUAUUCUACAUAGUGAUAAUGUUUCAAUUUUUAAAAGAUCUGUUAAAAAAACCAUAAUUUCAGAAAAAAAACUUUAUAGUUGAAAUAAUUUAUCGGUAUAUGCGUCAUUUGAGUGUUUCUUAAGUUGUCUUGCAAUUUUUAGAAUAUACAUUGUAUUAUAGAAUAAAUGGAGUAUUUAUUAUAAGCGAGCGCGCUUUUAGUUGAUGUUCACCGCCGGCGCACCUUCUAAAGAAGGAGGCGUUUUCCUUUUCAUCAUUUAUAAUCAGAAUAGAUCAGACGUCCACGAGGACGGGGGCGACGUGCACACGGUUUACUGUACGGUGGGCUGACGAUCGCUACGCUACGCGUUGUGGUGGCGUCAUGUCACUUGUGAUGGAUGUACUAGUACUACCAGUGCGACCAGCGUAAUAGCAUGUUGACAAUGACGAAUUUUUUUACUAGGGUUCCAUAGCUUAUUUGCAGAAUUAUUAUUUUAUUUUUCUAUAAAAAAUUAGUAAAUAAUAUUUUUUUAACUAUGAUUUUUGAAGUGGCUCGUCUCAUCGCCCGGUCGUUGUCGCCUCUCCUCUAUCUCCCGUUGUCAUGCAGUCGGUAAGAGCGCACGCGCACGCCGCUGUGUCCCAAAGCCAUGCAUCAACGUACAGUUAGCUUCAUUGCAGAUCGCUCCUAUUUGUCGAUUAAAAAUUAAGCGCACACCGCAUACUAGCUCAAUUCAAUCAGACAAUAAAGGCCUUGUUUAGUUCUAGAAAAUUUUGAAAAAAAUUAAAUUUUUUAUCACAUCAAAUCUUUCGACGCAUACAUAAAAUAUUAAAUAUAUAUAAAAAUAAUAAUUAAUUACACAGUUUGCCCGUAAUUUAAGAGAUUCGUUUUUUAGUCUAUUUAAUAUAUAGUUGGAUAAUAUUUGUUAAAUAAAAACGAAAAUGAUACCGUUUCUAUCUAUUUUGAAAAAAAUUUUAAACUAAACAUGGGCCCCGGACUACCGACAUCGGGCCAAGUACGAAGUCCACCACGUCCUGUCCGCAUCCUAGACCACGUAGCCCAGUUUUUUUUUUCUUUUUGAGCACUUUUGAGCCCAGCUUCCAGCCUAUGAAAGUAUGAAUAGACCCAGCGCUCAAUGGGCCGUCGGGACGUUUUGCACCUCGCCGCCAGUUUUAGAAGGGAAAAAAUAUACUUUAGGUCCUUCAACUUUCGCGAAAGUCUGAUUUUCAUCCCUGAACUCUAAAACCGGACAAAAUACAUCCCUCAACUUUUAAACCGUGCACAUUACAUCCUUGACCUGGUUUUGAAAGCGGUUUUAUCUUUAUCUUUUUAUUUAAUUUAGCUGAUUUUUUUUGAAAAAUCACAGUAAAUCACAUAAAAAUUAUAAAAUAGAAAACUCAAUUUUGUUGGACUUCAGAUCAGUAGAUCCACACAUUGAAUAUAUAAUAUAGUAUGUUCUAGUACAAAUUUUUUUGAUGCAUCUUUAGAUCUAUGUUUUUCUGUAAUUAAUUAGACUAAUUAUAGCUACAUUUUCUAUGGUCUAAUUGUGAUGAAAUUUAUGCGGCGAGCUAAUUAUUCUAUGUUUGAGUUAUAGUAAAAAUUUUAUACUCAUUGAAUCAUGUAUUACUUAGUUAUAGAUUUAUUUAGGUUUAUGCUUGUUAAAUUAUAAUAAAUCUAUAACUAAGUUAUACAUGAUCUAAUGAGUAAGAAUUUUUUUACCAUAGUUUAAACAUAUAAUAAUUAGUCUAAAAUAAAAAAUUCACCACAAUUGGACCAUACAAACUAUAGCUAUUAUUCUAAUUAAUUAUAAAAAAAUAGUUCUAAAGCUACAAUAAAAAUUUUGUACUAAAGCAUACUAUAUUAUAUGUUCACUAUGUAGAUCUACUUAUCUGGAGUCCAACAAAAUCAGAUUGACUAUUUUAUGAAUUUUAUGUGAUUUACUAUAAUUUUACAAAUAUUCAGCCAAAAUAAAUAAAAAUGAAAAAGACAAAACUGCCUUCAAAACCACUCAUAACCAUGUCAGGGACGUAAUAUGCAUGGUUUCAAAAAAUAAGGGAUGUAUUUUACCCGGUUUUGAAGUUUAGGGAUGAAAAAUAGACUUUUGCAAAAGUUGAGGGACGUAAAGUGGACUUCUUCCUUUUAGAAGACUCGGAUCCAACCCGGCCUGCAGACCACAAUGCAAACGUGAUAUAGGUGGGCCUCCAACAAGCGCAGCAUUUCCUCACAUCAAGACACCGGCCCGUAGCCCCAUACACAUCAGUUACAGGUCGGGAAGCGCCUCCCCGCCGGCCGCCGGCCACCGGCUCGCUGCCCGCCCCCUGCCGCCGCCUGCCCGCCUCGCCGAGCGGCAGCCACGCGCGCGGCUCUGCGUGGCCGCGCUCCGCCAGUCCGCUGGCCGCCCGCCAUCCACGAACACCACCUACAAGGGUCGCCCCAAAUCCUUACGCCAGAACCGGCGCUGACCGGAGUGCCCCGCCCCGGUAAAAAAAAACCCUACUCCAAGACAGCGUCGUGAAGUCACCGACGUCAACUCCGAUGGCGUCCUUCCCGCCGCCGCCGCACACGCUACCUCCUACCCCGACAGCACCCUACCCGGCAACACCUCCGCCUCUGCACCACCACCACCACCAGCAGCAGCAGGGGCCCGCUCCACCGGGGGCGGCGACGCUUCUGGUGAGGCAUCUCCCAGAGGCGAUCACGCAGGAGAUGCUAUCCCGCCUCUUCUCCCACUACGGCGCCACAUCCGUCCGCCCCUGUUCCGGUGGAAAGUACUUCUCUCAUCUUGUCGCUUGCUUAAUUAUGCUUCGAUUGGCGCUCCACAUGUUGAAUUAGUUACAGUAGCGCGUGGUUGUAUCUAGUAUAAGGUGAUGCUGGAAUGUCCUAGUUGUCCUAGAUAUGUCUCCUUUAUAUUUGGUUAAGUAUGUAUACCGAGCUGUCUCCUAUGUUAUUUGGUUGCUAAAAACAUUUUGUUGGUCUGUUGUUGCUGGCUGAGGAAUAUUAUGUUUGUUUAGUUUCCAAAACCAUUUUUUUGGGUCUGUUGCAGGUUGAGGAAUUGUGCAUUUGUAGAUUUUAGGGAUGAGGCGGCAGCCAAUCACGCACAUUCGCUUUUGAACAGGUUUGCUUCAUCAAUCACACGAUCUGUUAGGUUACUUAGACUCUCUUUCUUAGCUGCAUGAACUAACCAUGCCUUCUCAUUUCAAAUGCCAAACUGUGCUCAUCUCAACUCGUAUGUCAAGCAUUGCCUUGUUCGCUAAGGGAUGGCUUUGCAGGUUGAGGUUUCUGGGGAAAGUGUUGACUGUCGAGCGAGCUAACCGUCCAAAUGCAAAUGAUUCUCACCUGAAGCAUCAGGACCAAUUAGUGCAUGGGGUGUCCCAGGUACCAAGUAUUAGUUCCCAAAAUCAGAAGGAUCACACAUCGACUGCUGAACCAAUUGCCCCCAAGCUUGGUGUGGACUAUCCAUUCCCUCCGCACCUUGAGUAUGUUAUUAGUUCACUGCAUCAUUAUUUCACUUCAUUAUCUUAGCUCUCGUAAAUACAUUCUGUCCUGCAAUGUCUUAUUACUGUUCUCAACAGACAUUCAUUAGUAGUUAAGAGAUUGACUUGCCAUCUGCUACUGAGAAUUUAGAUUCCUGCAAAAUUUAAUACAAAAGCUUGCCCGCAUAUUUCUACAUAUAAUUCUUUUUGCUAAUCAUGAAUCUCUCUCCCUCUCUCCAGAAUUCUUGGGUUGUUGAGAUUUAUGGGUUGAGUUAUCUAUGUGAGAUUAUGAACUAGUUGAAUUUAUUUGAAACAAUAUUCCUCAGUCUAAAAAGGCCUAUGUGCUAUCAUGCAAAGUAUAUAUGAUCCAUUCACAUUUACCAUUUUUCUGGAAAGUAACCAAAAUCAAACUAGCACCAAUUCUUUGCUACUACAUGCUGACUUAGUUGAUUCACUUCUAUUACUAUGUCGCAAAGUUUUGCAAUUAGGCACCUGUUGACUGCCAUUCUAUGCUGAAGCCUUUUCAACUGUUGGCAAUCCUAAUACGCGUCACUUUCUUGAGCUUGAUUUGAGUGCCCUAUAAUUUUCUAGGUAUGCAUAUCCACCACCAGAUGGAAACAUAUUGACAAAUAUUGUCAAUGCCCUGAUUGCCGUCCCUCGAUUCUAUAAUCAGGUUUAUUAGGAUUUCCACCCUAUGCACCCAUUGUUACAACUUGCAAGGCAUGCCUCUGCAUAUUUUUUUCGUAUUCUGCGUGUGUAGAUGCAUUUUGAUCAAAUCAUUUUUCUUCAAACAGGUCCUGCAUUUAAUGAACAAGAUGAACCUUCCUGCUCCAUUUCGGAUGGCAUUGCCUACUCCACCCCUACCAUCGCAACUGCCUGUUACCCCUCAUCCACAGCCACUACCGCAAUCUGCUACCACCGGGGAGCUUCAUACGGCUGAUUUGUCUAGUGAUGAGUCUGAGUUAGAAUCAUCUGAUGUACUUGCUACUUCUGUGUUUCCAGUUUAACCUUGUAGUGUCUUUAUUGAGUCAUUCGUGCACGUUUUAUCUAUCGCAGGAAGAUAUUGAUAAACGGAAAAGCAAACGUGCAAAGCAUGAAGCAAUUGUUGGUCCGGCAGUUGAUAAAAAUGUUGCUCAUGAAGCAGUGGGGGUGAAACCUGCUGCAUUGGUUUCUAAUGAGCUUCAAGUGAUCAAAAAGAAAAACCCAGUACUUCAGGUUAACUACUCUUUGUUUGUUGAUGAUUACUCAUUGACUGAAAAGUCAAUUGUUUUAUCUUUUUUGCUGACGCAAUGGUUCUCUUCAGAUAAAAAUUGCCCCUAAGCCUAUGCAGAAGGAACCACCUGUCCCAAGUAUAACUGAAAAUGAACCGGAUUCAACUCAUGAACAACUUCAAGAGAAACAUUUUGUCACACCCCAGGAAAUGUUGAGAGAGAAAUUACCACCAGAGGAGAUUUUAUCCCUUCCUAUGUUCAAGGUACACAUUCCUUGUGUUGUACUACCAUGUCAUUUGCACAGAUAUUUAUAGGGUGUUUGGUAUGAGGAAUGAGUUAGUUCAUCAUCUUUCUUUUUUGCUUGGUUUGUGGAAUGGAAAUGAUAGAUCCAUCAUCAUCUCAUUCAUCACAAGCUAAUAAUUAGUACUAGUAUGGGGAAUGGAGUCAUUCCACCAAAUUUGAGGAAUGGACUCAUGAUGCACCACCUCAUCUAGAAUGGAGUGCUUCCUCAAACCAAGCAUCCUAUUAAUGGACAAUGCUGGAACAUCUGUAUUUGUGAAUUAAGUGAUUAUUAUGAAUGUUCAUCAGUUGGUGAGUUGUUUCCUUCCCCUUGAUCUUGAUGAUGGUAGCCUGAAAUUUCGAAGAAUGAAGAAUGUUGAUACGUAAAGCAACUUCUAUAUUUCCUUAGAUUGUAAGUUGUUUGCUGACCGCUGAAUCAACUUCAAAUAUUAUGUUCUUUUGCAGAAUUACACUCCAGGAAAUCCUGCCAGUGUUUUGUACAUUAAGAACUUGGCAAAGGAUGUCACUCAUGAUGACUUCUAUUAUGUCUUUGGUAAGGCUGUCAGAGGCCAACUGUUUUUCAGGACGUUGCUUCAUUAUUUGUCCCAGAUGAAAAAAAUUAGGGAUCUAAUAGUUACUUUUAAAUGGUUUGCACCUGUAACGAUUAGCUGCUAAGGUUAAUAUAUUCCAACUUCGCAACUCAGACCCAGUAGGAACCCAAGCAAUCUUGUUUGUUGAGUGUAGGCAUACCUUAAAUUUAUGACUGAGAUGUAUGUAUUGCUGAGGGUGAUUAAGAUGUGCUAUGAGCUUGUGCAGAUAGGCCAGGUCAAAUAUCUGUUACGUGUUACCUAGGAAUCAAUGACCAUGCUUUUUUGCUCUUUUGGCUUAGUAAAUGGUUUUUGAUCAAUUGCUGCUAUGAAUGAAAGAGCUUGCUGCAAGCAUGCACCAUCAUCAGAACUAUGGUUUAAUUCAGUCAACAUGUCAUGUUAACUGCAUUUGUGCUUAAGGUUCUAGGUCCUAGCCGAAACAUCAUGAGUAACAAAGAACUAGACGAUGCUGCAUUUUCUUAACCUAUAUUGUUUUGUUGCGUAUCCUGUAUUUGCAUCGGUGUUAAUAAUUUUUUUUCCAAAAGAGGAGUAUCAGAGAAAGUUUUCUUCAUUCACUGCAGUGUUUUCUCAAUUUGUCACUAAGGUAUCUUUUUAACUUCUCUCUUCAGGUUCUGUAUUCGAAAGCAUGGACAGUGCAAGGCUGGGUCUAAGUAUAAAGUUAAUGCAGGUAUAUUAUUGACUUGGUUAUCCCAAAAAAAACUUGUUUUCACAAAAAUCUACAAGCUACUUUUCAUAGUGAAAAUUAUGUGGAAAGCUGCUGUCAUUGUUUACUGUCAAAGUUCUGCUUUUUGCUGCCACUGUGCUCCUCAUUGUCUGUUUUUUCUUUCAAAUUUUUAAUCCUGUUGCAGGAAGGACGGAUGCGUGGUCAAGCCUUUGUCACAUUUCCCACGGUUGAACUUGCUCAACGUGCCCUGGUUAGUGAUUUUGUUAUUGACAUGAUGUCUUGUUUGUAAUGUUGCACAGUAUGAGCUCAUUUCUAAUUUAUCUAAUUUUGGGACUAUGGCUAUGUUUGGAUGCCGCGCCAAAAGUUUGGCGAUCAAAUCGCUCGCCACAGUUUCGGCGAGGUUUGGUGUAAAAAAUGACUUGCAUAGCAUUGGCAAGUUGCGGCAGCGCCUUAACUCUGGCGACAAACCAAACACUUUCAAAACAGCGGCGUCAGAGUUGUGGCAGACGGUGUCAUGGUUUGGUAACAAACCAAACACGCUCUACAACCUGCGUGCAUUAGACAGCUAGAUGUGGCAAAAGGCCAAAAAUAAAAUCAAUAGAUUGCAUGAUUUGUCUUAAGACCACGCAUCAUCUUCCUUUCCACCCAAUCAGUAUUCUAUAUAAUCCUAGCUGUUUACAUGAUGUUAUCGGGUCCAUGAGAACCAUGAGUGCUUAAAAAUAUCUCAUUUGUGGUUUUGCAGAAUCUAGCGCAUGGCUACGUGUUCAAAGGAAAACCAAUGAUCAUACAUUUCGGAAGAAAUCCUGCUGCUAACAAAGCUUCCUAAAACAUGACACAUUUUUAUUUCCAGAUUUUGACAGAUAUCAGAAGUUGGUAGGAACUGGAAAGUGACAAUCAGAGGUUGAGGGUAUCUGUUGACUGUUGUUAGUGCAACCUGUUUGACAUUACACAUUAGGCUGAUUGGUUCCUUCCAUGGUGUAAUUUUUGUUGAAAAAGAACAUUGUACAUUUCAAUUUGUUAUAUUGUAAAAAUUACUCGGUGAAAACGGACAUGGAGGUUUUAAGCUGCAGAUCGAGCUAUCACUCUAUAUUUUUGUUUAAAGGUCAAUGACUGCUAGCAGCCUACCGUCACAGAGAAUCAAGGAUGUGUUUGGUUCGAUGGCUAAUUUCUAGCCUGGCUAGAGCCUUAGCCUGUUUCCAUCGAGCCAGUCCAUGGUUGUUUGGUUAUAUGUACUAUCUAAGUCUGGCUAGCCUCAGGAUGUGUUUGGUUGCCUGGUUUGUUUUGAUACAAUCACCUUUUGAUGAACUGGUAAGGUUACCUCUUUACAAGGCAAGGGAUAUCUAGCACUAUCACAAUAAAUUAGCAAAAAAAUACUAGAAACAAUUUAUACUAAAAUUUGAACAUAAAUUAGCAACUGAUUUAGUUUGUUACUGCUGAACACAAAUCUGAACAAAUGAAUAAGAAUGCAGCUUGUUCAGUCGGUUUCAAGAAAGCUUAUGACUGAAACAACGAAUGAUUCUUUUAAGAACUACUCCAGACCAUCAGACCAAUUUCUCUCAAAAAGAUUAGUAUAUAGGCAACAUGAAUACAAAUUUGUUUUCUCAAUAAUACGAGUGCUUCUUGGUUGACUCUGCUCAUUAACUUACAAAAUAGCAGCCUACAUCAAAUGUUUUAUGAUUUCAUCUGUGCAUGCUCUACCUCAAUCAAAUGUUCAGAUUAUCAAAUGUUUUGCAUUACAGUGUAGAAUUGAUGGUCUUUUGCCUGUUGCUGAACUUGAGUGUCUCUGUCUUACCUCCUGUCCAUAUCAACUGACAAAAGGAGCUGCUCCCUCCUGUCCAGAUCAGAGACGAAGGCCCCGACAUAGGCUUAUCCUAGAGCACCUUGUAGGCUCUGAAGUCCUCGACCAGCAACUCUAGUGAACCCCACUGCUUCUCCCUGAGCAGCUGCAGGGUCAGCGCAGUUCCCGUCUUCUUCUCCCACUGGAAUUCUGGCUGCAGCAGCGCCCUCCUGUAGCCCUCGAAGGCCAGCUGCUCGGUCUGUUGUUCGCCGCAGAGGCCCCGAGUGAAGCAGAGGACCUGAAGUAGUGGAGCACGAAGGACCGCUUGACCAUGCAAGGUGAGGCAUGGGAUUUCGCCGGCGUUCUCCGCGACGGAUGGAGAGCCAGAAUCGGGUGCUAAUCUGAGUUGGAGCACGGGACCUCCACGCGAGUAGGAGGAGCAGGUGACCUCCGGUGACAGGCAGCGCGGGGCAUAUGGGGCCGUUGAGAUGGGACGAGCAGCGUCGAUGGCAUGCAAAGGCGGAGCCGUAGGACAAGCAGCGUCGGGGCAUGGCAUGCGCGGCGGCGGAAGAAGGUGAACGCGACAGUUAGGGAGGUGACGAGAAGUUUGGACGGAGCUUAGCCAAGCCUGGCCAGCGAAAAACGGAGGCACAUCUCGUUUUCCCAGGGCCAGGCUAAGGCCUCCAAAAUGGCUUAGCUGGGCCUGGCUUCAAGCUAUUUACAGACAACCAAACAACUAGAAGUUGACUAUCUAGAGUCUGGUUGGGAUUUAGCCACCCAACCAAACAUACCCCAAGUCUCUGGCGUCCCUGAACUGGGAGAUGCAUGCAUGGUGGCUGGAGGAGCCAGUGACGCAGCGCCCUGUAUGCAGUGGCUCCAUCCAUCUCCAGUAAGAGGGGCACGUUGUCUAGAAUUCAAAAAUUGUUUUUAAAUUCAACGAAGUUUAGGGGAUAAAUGGGACUUCACAUUUUAAUAUAGAAGAUAUGUUUUAGCUCAUAUGACACGGUUAAAAUGAGGGAGGCACGAUUUUAACAUCUAACAUGUAGAGCUCCUGUGAUUGCCCUAUCUUGUACUCCAUCUGUCCCAAAUUGUAAGUCAUUUCAAGAAUUUUGGAGAGUCAAAACAUUUUUACGUCUAACCAAAAUUAUAUAGAGAAAUACUAAAAAUUGUAACGUAAAGUGAGUAUACUCUGAAAAUAUAAUUAAGAAAGAAUUUAAUGAUACUUAGUUGGUAUUAUAAUAAUAAUUAUUUUAUCAUAUAAAUUUGAUCAAACUUAGAAAAGUUUGACUCUAUGGAGAGAGUAUAUGCGUUUCCGCGCAUGAUUGUUGCUGAUUUGAACAACCUCGGCUGCCUCUGUGAGGACGAGUACAUGUCAUCGAAAGUAGCGCUGUUUGAGUUGUGUACAAACAAAUUUAAAUAAUCUUAUAUUUGCGAGGAGUUCAAAUAGAUGUCAUUCUGAAAAAUAAAUUAUCUAUAAAAAAAGCUUCUUUAUCUCAUGCACAAUAUCUUUCUUUUUUCGUUCUCUAUUCUAAACAGGUGACCUCACGUGUGAGUGUGAUCAAUACGUGUCACUUCCUCUCUCUCUCUCACUCUCUGCGCAAGUGUGCCCCACCUCCGCAUCCUUGACCAAAAGAUUAACAUUUCUGCCACGAGUCCCCGCGGAGCUACGCGCACCACGCGCGCCUCCCGAUCCCCACGGCCGCCGCGUGACAUGUGAGCCCCACAACCGUUUCUUAUUCUUAUCCAGAAUAUAUUAUCCAUUCCCGAAUUUCUUACAGCCACCGAGGAAGAAAAUUCCAGAGUCUACAGUCCACGUGGCGAGCAAAAGAAGACCGUGAGGCGCAUCCGACGACCGUCCGUAAUUCUCGUUAGGGUUUGAGACAUAAUUAUCUGGAAGAUUAAAAAUUAGCUUAAAUUGAAAGAAAAGACGCGGCGAUUUUUCGCUCCGGUAAUCCGGUUUGCCUUUAUCCGUGGGCCUCCUUUUUAAAAGGAGCUACUUUUCUUCGCCGCUUCCGCAAUCUUCCAUUCCUCCUCUCUUCUCUCUUGCGCCGUGUUCCCUCUCCCUCUCCUCGCGAGCUCUUCUUCAGCCCUUCUUCGAGCGCGGUUUGGCGAUGGCGGCAGCGCAGGCGGUCGCGAAGGGGAGCGUGGUUGCGCCGUGCGGCAAUCGAGCGGCGCCGGGCCUCCUUGGCAGGCGGAGGGGUGCCGUGGCGGCGCGGAUGGCGCCGUCGGCGGUGCGGAUCGGGGCCUCAUGGAGGAAGACCGCGUUUACAGGCGGGAGGCUAGCCUUGGGGUUGGGGACGAGGAGAUCCAGGCCCGCGUCCCGGAGUUCUUUCGCGUCGCCGGCGCAGGUGAAUAUAGAUUCAUGCGUUCCUUUCAAGUUUUUUUUUCUUCUCUAUUUUCGUAUAAGUUCAUUCACGCGUAUCAUAUUUUUUUCUCGAAGUUUUUGCGAUUAUUUUUACUUUUAUACGUUCCUAAAAUCAUAUCUAGUUUUCUUUUCUUUUCUUUUGCUUGGUCUACUCUUAGAAGUUUCUAGUCCGUUUGACCAUCCAAAAAUAAAAUCUUUGAUUCCCUAAGUUUAUAUAGGAAUAUAAAAGUGAAACGUAAAGAGACUAAUAUGAUCUGAUCUUUGUUUGUCCGGUUACUCAGAUGAACAUGAACCUUGCGAUUGGGAAAUCGAUGAGGUGGUGGGAGAAGGGGUUGCAGCCCAACAUGCGUGAGAUCGAGUCCGCCCAAGACCUUGUCGAUUCCUUGACCAACGCCGGCGACAAGCUCGUCAUCGUCGACUUCUUCUCCCCUGGCUGCGGCGGCUGCCGUGCUCUUCACCCGAAGGUGAGUGGCAAAAAAGGAUACCGAAUUCACUCUUGCAUGAUGUUCUUCAUAUAUCCGAGAACUUUUGAGAGGAUUGUGGGUUUUCUGAUGAAUCUAUCUCUUGCAGAUUUGUCAAUUUGCGGAGCAGAACCCAGAUGUGCUGUUCUUGCAAGUGAACUACGAGGAGCACAAGUCUAUGUGCUACAGUCUUCAUGUCCAUGUCCUACCCUUCUUCAGAUUCUACAGGGGAGCACAGGGACGGCUCUGCAGCUUCAGUUGUACAAACGCAACCGUAAGUUCCUGAUCCGAUCAGCUGGUCACGUUUCUUCUUUUCAUAUGAUUUUGUUACUAUGUCCUGAAUAACAUGCAACAUAGCGCCAACAAUCUUUCUUCAACACUAUAGAAUUACGGUUACCCUCUUGGGUCUAAAUGUACAGACCCAAAUGUUAAUUUUUUUCGGAUACUUUGCGAAUAUAACAAACAAAGAAUGGCAUUUUAAGUUGAAUUUGACAGGCAAAGGAUGGCCUUUUAAGUUUCCCCUAGCAGUUCAUGCAACAUUGCAACCUUUACUGAUCGGAUAGAAACCUUACUCCCUUGCGAACCCAGCUGGAGGUCGCCAUAUGUGAUUGAUUUCUUGGCUAUUAUUAUAAAAUUUGUUAGCUAUACUUAGGAUCGUUGUUGGCUGUGGUCACCGAUCAGGACUGAUGGGACCGUUAUUUCCAUAUGCAGAUUAAGAAGUUCAAGGAUGCACUUGCGAAGCACAAGCCAGAUAGAUGUAGCCUUGGCCCAACCAGGGGGCUAGAGGAAUCGGAGUUUUUAGCCUUGGCAGCAAACAAGGACCUGCAGUUCACCUACACCAAGGAGCCAGAACUGAUUCCCAGGGGAGAUGCUCCUGGGGAGGUCAUUGCUCCCGAGCCUGCAAAGCUUCCUGCGGCCACAAAGCCUUUGGUCAGGCUGGGGUCCGAAGAAAGGUCCUUGGUCUCAUCAGGAAGAUGAGAUGUAUAAUUGAUUGAUUAUCAAGGAUGAUCAGAUGCUUCCAUUCUGUACAGUUCCGUGGUUCUUGAUGUGUGUAAAGGUUGUAGCUUCUCAUGGUAGCAGAGUGCAGGCUAAGAUUUUUUACAUGUGAAGCCUGCCCUGUCGUCCGGUAGUUUAGCUCGGUUGUACUCCAUUACCAGUAGCAAUGAGCGUGUUGUGGAGCUGCCUUAAGGAAAUCGCAUGGUUGUUGCAUGGAUGAAUGAAUUCGUCUGCAUGCUAUUUCGUCGAAUUCUAUAGAUCAUGUGGAUGAUGAGUUGCUCUUGUUUAAUUUCUCCUCCAGCCUCAGGAUAUUGUAUGGGUGUCUGUUGCAAAUCUGAAUAAUCAAAUCAUGCUUUUUGUUUGUGCCAGACAUUGUGGUGCUUGGAGAUUAUUGUUGUGAUAAUGUUUUGAGUUUUUUAUGACUAGUUUCCUGCCUUGGCCUUUUCUUUCGGGUCCAGGAAACGGGUGAUGAAGAAACUGGUGGAGAUGGCUUAAUUAGUAAUGGUAAACUAGGAAGGUCGAAUUUUUGUGAACGAUAGGUUUGGAUCUGUGGUUUCUCUUUCUAUAAAGCUAGAUAAAGGUGGUCCAGUCUUCUUUUGAACUGGAUAAGAUAACUCAUCAACAACUACAAUCAGUUUCUUCCCCGAGCAGACAGGUGUGCGUGCGCCACCACCACACCCUAUCCUCCAUGAGCUGGGAGGGGUGUGCCGACGCUGCUCUGUGCUCUUCACCGAUGUUUACGACAAUGAUUGUUAAAAAGUGAUGAAUUUAGAUAUGUUUGAUCAAACUGUUUAAUUUCAGUGCAUUGGCAUGUGCAAUAAUGUUUAAUUCUGAUUUUGAUUGAGGCAAUUGAGUUGUGCAAUGAUGAAAUACUAUUUUUGACUGAGGCAAUUGGAUUGUUCAAUGAUGAACUACAUCUUUUAGUAAUUAGUGAUGUCUCCAGAUUGUAAAUGUUUCUGAGCUCAAAUCCAUUGCCUAUGAUGUCUUUCUGAUUUGCAAUUGCUAACUAUGAUGUUUUUUGAUUAACAAUUGCUAAUUAUACAAACAAGAGUGGCGCAAGAACUCAGAGGAACAUGGCAUGAUCCAGCUCCAGCUCCAAUCAUGCAGCAUUGAAGCAUUCAAAGAAUGGUCUUGGCCAUGCGGUGCAUAAUGUCUUAUCAAUCAGAUCUGGAGCACAAAAAUAGGAUAUCUUGCAUCAGAACAUCAGGGUAUGGAUGGAGGUUUGGAAUGGGGACUUCGGUUUCCAUCUCCCCUACUCCACUUCCUUUGGAGUAGAAGUACGCUCUGGUCGUCACGACUCACGACAGGUGUUCUCUUGGCCUUGUUUAGUUUCUAAAAUUUUUUAAGAUUUCCCGUCACAUCGAAUCUUGCGGCACAUGCAUGAAGCAUUAAAUAUAAACAAAAACAAAAACUAAUUACGCAGUUUAUCUGUAAAUUACGAGACAAAUCUUUUGAUCCUAAUUAGUCUAUGAUUGGAUAAUAUUUGCCACAAACAAACGAAAGUGCUACAGUAGCGAAAUCCAAAAUUUUUCUCAAACUAAACAAGGCUAGUUCAGUUCUGGAGGCUUCGGCUUGUCUCGUCGGAAAUAUCUGCACGGUGAGGCCGCGACGUGGCGCGCUGCGGAAUGCCAAUUCUGAUCCACUCAAAUUGGCGCCAUCCGUUGUUAUCCAAAAACGUACGGAGUAUUGUGCAUAGAGAUGGAGCCACCGUAUUUACACCCUCCGAGGAAUAGAACAGCGAUAGUUUUAGGCCUUGUUUAGUUCCCAAAAAAUUUUGCAAAAUUUUUCAGAUUCCCCGUCACAUCGAAUCUUUAGACGCAUGCAUGGAGUAUUAAAUAUAGAUGAAAAUAAAAACUAAUUGCACAGUUUGGUCGAAAUUGACGAGACGAAUCUUUUGAGCCUAGUUAGUCCAUGAUUGGACAAUUUUUGUCAAAUACAAACGAAAGUGCUACAGUGUCGAUUUUGUAAAAUUUUUUGGAACUAAACAAGGCCUUAUUAAAAAAAUAGAAAAGGUCCAGAAAUUGACAGGUAAAGUAUCCAUCGUUGUCGAGCUUUUACAAAAAGCAGUGAUUCACAUGCACCAAAUAUGCUCGUAAUGUAAAAUGUUUAAAUGCCCUAUAAAGCCCUUUUGUGCGGUGUAGGGUGAGAGCUGUCUUUGUCGCUCAAAUCAUAAGCAAAUAUUGUAUAUGGAGAAAAAAGAUGUUAUAUAAUAUAAUAUAACGCAAGUAUAUAUGAGGUGAAGAAAGGUUAAUUUUGAAAAUGGUGCGAAUUUGUUCCAACCAAAACAUACUAAAUAAUGCUAAUAUUUUUGAAACUUAGCAUAGUGCCAGGAUUGGAUGAUAAGGGCCAAGGUGACAAAAGAGAAUAAUCAUAAAAAGUCUAUUAGAUAUGGUCCACCACCUAGCUGUUUUAGAGAUCGAUGACAAAAUUUACACUUAGCUACUUGUAUCUGUAAUAUAAUAACAAUAUUAUAAAAUUCGUUUUCAUUAAAACACAUUUCUCUAAUAUUAUACAUCUAAGGUGUUGAAUAGAUCAGUAGGUGAAGUAUACAAGAACUUCAGAUGAGACAAAUUUUGAAACAACUUUUAAGGUCGAUUUUCCCUCUUCACUAUAGUUGAACAAAAGAUGAAAAAAAAAGGAAACAGAGUACGCGAAAUUUAUAAUGUCAUCAGUCCAAUUAUCCCUUUAAAGAACCAUCACGUGCAUCUGUGCAUGUGGUUUUAUACUCUAUUGUUUGAUUCCGUACCAGAUGGAGAUCCGGUACCUAGCUAGAGACACAAUCCAACAAUAGAAAGAUCACACAUCUACAGAGGUAGUGUUAACCGCUCUCUUGCAUGCACGCUUAACACAUCGUUUCUAGCUAGCGUACAUAUUGAGCCAUAGCGUAGUUCUGCCCUUAUUCUAGUUAUUCCAAAGCAUUCUAGUCAAAUAGCAAAACACAAAGACGAUUUUGAUUCACCAAGAAAGAAAUAGUAUCGUCACAAGUUUGGAUUUAGGAUCGGAUCCUGAGAGAAACGACUGCACGGGCGCGGGACGGAGAUGAGCACCGGCGCCCAUGCAAAGCUGCACUGCAGCCAAAGUUGGACGCGCGGCCUCGUGGAAUCCUUGUGUGGAAACCAAACCAAGAUUCGAACAACGGCGUCGAUGCGCGUGCAUACGCAUCCGCAGCGCAGAGCAGGAGACGCCGGAGGAGGAGCGCGACGAAAACAGUGUUCGACAGUGGCGCCGCGGCCCCUGUCAACGGUCGCGUUCCGGCGCGUUCGCCUGUCCUGUUCGGGGUUCGGUCCCGCUCCCAGUCAGUCCCACGCUGUACGGGGCGUGGAGCACCCACACACUUGGCGCGGGCGGACUGGGCGGCGGGACGGGUGUCUCUCGCGUGGAAAGUGGAAUCCCCUCGUGAACGUUCCAGAGCCGAGCCGAGCGGGGGUUUGUGUGGUCGUGCACCGUGGUGCCCCUGCGUGCCACACCUUUGCCGCAUGUGUGCCUCGUGACUCCUCACCUGCGGCUGCAGUCUGACGUGCUACGCUCCUCUGGUUCUGCGUGCUGGGAUGCUAGCACGGGCGCACAUCGCUCUCCAGCUAGGAUUUUUUUUUGCUUGUCCGGCUGUCCCAUCCAUCUGUUACGGGCAAACUAGUACGUAGUAACGUAGUAUACGGAGUACUCGUACGGACCAUAAUUUGCUUAUCGAAAACUAUUAUUAAAAGUACUAUUUACUGAAUUUUUAUAAAAGAGCACUGCUAAAUGAUAAAUAAGCUCGAACGAACAUGCUUAAACAGCCGCUGAGGGACGGGGAGGACCGGACGAAUUUGUGGUGGCUCGUCGAUUCUCUGGAAUCCUGGCCGGCCGCAUAACAUUGCUUUCCUUCGCUCCACUAAAAUACUGUCAUUAUUAACCGUGGAACUCUAAAAAAAAUACUGCUUUUGGAAUAGUCCGCUGCUACCCUUAAAGGUUGUGUAGUAUUUUUUUUAAGGUUGUAGUAUUUAUAUUUAUCAGUACAAGUGGGCGCGUUUGGUUCUCUCGGCAGACUUCGCCUCGGUGUUUUUGGUUUGGAUAUUAAAGUUUAACAUAUAUUAUAGCAUUUCAUUUUAUUUGGCAGUUAGUAUAUAAUCACAGACUAAUUAGAUUUAAAAAUUAGUCUUUCAAAUUAUUUUUUAGUUGUAUUUUUAGUUUUAUAAAUAGUCUAUAUUUAGUACUUUAUAUAUAUGUCCAAAUAUUUUAUGUAACGGACGAUAAAUUUUUACAUGACAAGACCUUGCUCCGAUAAAAGUUGAUAUACAACUAGUACUUGGUUUCUUGGUGAGUUUGGCCUUGAUGCCUUGUUUAGUUUAAUCCAAAAGCCAAAAUUUUUUCAAGAUUUCUCGUCACAUCAAAUCUUAUAACACAUUAAAUAUAGUCAAAAAUAAAAACUAAUUAUACAAUUUACCUGUAAAUCGUGGGAUAAAUCUUUUAACUUGUAAAUCGUGAGAUAAAUCUUUUGAACAUAGUUAGUUCAUAAUUAAACAAUAAUUAUCAAAUAAAAACAAAAAUACUACAUUGCCUAAACCAAAAAAAUUUGAAAACUACAAAGGCCUGAGUUUGUGCCGGCAAGAGUUAUGCUGCUUGUGGGGGAGAGCGAUUGGCUCACCCACGCUGGCAAAGGAUUCACCUUGCUAAGCGAGAUAAGGUGGGCGAAACUGAUGAAGUAACCAAACGCGGCCAGUUAGACCACCAAAUUUCACCGGAUAAUUUCAUGGUGAGACAUUUCACGUAAUAAAUAAAGAAAUAAAGAUGGUUCUUAGACGAGAGACUCUACCUCAAUUAGUUGGGUGUAAGGUGCGAUCAUGCACAUAAUUUUUUGGAUAUGUAUUCUAUUUUUUAUUGAAAUAUGCUGAAUUUAUUUUAGGUUGGCUAUUUUUUUAGCAAUAUGGGAUCUGGAAAUCAAACAUCUCAAUUUUUUUCUUUUUCAAAUGCGAAGUGUACAAAUAAAACAAAAGUGGACAGUAUAUAUAUCACUCAAAAGGCACUAAAAGUUUGCUAAGAGCCCAGUAUGUCCGUGAUGAAUACUAACACACCAUGGAUCCUGACUUUUGUUUUGGCCCACUAUAUACAAAACAUUGCACUCGCGGUCCAUUUUGGGCGCUUCUAUGGUUACAGUUUUUAAGGACUUAUGUGAAUUUCCCCUUUCCCUGUAGGACUCAUUUCUGAAGCUCGGUUUAGGAAGAGGAAUUGCUAUAGUUUUUUCAUGAUUUUUUUUUAUAACAAAGAUGAAUUGACAUAACCAAAUCAAUAACUAGGUGCAUUGAAACACAUGAAGAGAUGAUGAGGUUUCAGGCUAAACCAUACUCAGUUCUCGCACAAAAAGAAGUAUGUAAUUAAAGCCUGUUUAAAUAAAGUUUUGAAUGUCCCAUCGUCUGUCAUGCGUUUGAUACAGAAAUCAUCAAUACAAAGCUCUGCACGACGGCGGAUGCGGCGGCGCGAACUGGCGGUCGAGGCGAUGUUCCGGCGAGUCCUGUGCACCAAACGCGAAACGGCCGAGCCGAUGAGCACCAGGACAUCAAGUCAAGCAAAGCUAGAACAACAGAAAGAUGGGAGAGACACGUGCCAGUCCAUGGCGAAGGAGCUCACGGCGGGGAGACGGACGGCCGCGGAGAAGAACCGGCGCUGGGGACGACUCCGGCAACGAGAGGCGGCGCGUCUGGGAUCAAACGAUGCGCACGGACGAGGCGCACCUGGCUGCGAGAGUAAUUGGACGGAGGAGGGAUGGUUGUGGCGAGUUUAGCCGGCGAACCGAAGGUGAUCGGCGGCGAUCAAAAGGGUAAAAGGGAGAAAGAGUCGGCGGAGCUCUAGCGCUAGCUCGGGCUUGGACACGCCAGCUCUAGCUCCGGACUCGCCAGCUCUCGCUCGGGCUUGGACACGCAAGCAGCUGCGCGUCCACACGCGAGGAAGCGGCGCGAACGGCGGCGGCGGCCGUCGGCAAGCAGCUGCGUGGCAUUGGCAUGGGGACUGGGGUCUGGGCGUCCGUCCGGCCGUCUGGGGAGGCGGUGGGCAGGAGGAGAAUCGCGGAGCCGCGCUCACCGCUCAUCACUCCCGGGCCGGGACAGGCUGCGAGCGGUAGCGAAGUGGGCGGGCUGUGCGUUGGGCUUCGUCUCUGACGGGCCUGCCUGCGCGAGCUUUCUCCGUGUUCACCGUGCGCUCGUCGUUGGAUUGGAUGGCUGAUCG